AAUCGUUUCGUCUGCAUCCUGCAGUGCCUUUAUUAGUACCACGCAGAGCAAGCGAGAGUGGCAGCAUUGGUGGCUAUACCAUUCCCAAAGAUACAACUCUUAUGUUGAAUGUUUGGGCUAUCCACAGGGACCCUCAACUUUGGGAUAAUCCCUUAGAAUUUCGACCCGAGAGGUUUCUGAAUGUUGGUGUCGAGAGUAAGUUCGAUUACUCAGGUAACAAUUUUCAGUACUUACCUUUUGGUUCUGGUAGAAGAAUGUGUGCUGGGAUUCCUCUAGCUGAGAGGAUGCUGAUGUUUGUUUUGGCUUCGUUAUUGCACUCAUUUGAGUGGGAAUUGCCAGCUGGCACAAAGCUAAAUUUAUCUGAAAAAUUUGGGUUUGUCAUUAAGAAAAAAGAGCCUUUGGUUGCUAUUCCAACACCAAGACUAUCCAAUUCAGAGCUUUACCAUUAAAACAGAAUGAUUGUGAUGAUUUUGUUAGUAUCGGAAGAUUUGUAUGUUAUUUCAAGUUCAAUCGUAAUAAAAUAUUUUAAUAAAAGUCCUCCGUUGCUAAUUUUUUUUUUCAACGGCAUAAUCUGUCAUCAUGCUUGUGUUUGGAGCUACUUUGGAAUGAUUAUUUUUGAAUUACAAUUUAUAAAUAUUUAGGUUUUAAAUUUUUUAUAAGAGUCUAAAUUUAUACACGUUCAGUAAAAGAUUCCCUAAAAGCUUUACAAUUCAAAAUUCUAUUAAAAGUAUAGAUGAAACUUUUAUACCUACUAAUUUUUUGGUCUAUUCUACAAGUUUAAAGAGGAGAUAUUUCUAGAGCUAGCAAAAAGAGCUACCUGAUUGUUUUCGCGUUAUGUCAAUUUUUUUAUUGUGUUAAAUUUAAUUUGACCCACAUAUGACCCAUUUAAUAAUCGUGUCAAAAUAUUGAAACUUGAACUUGAUACGGAAAAUAAAUGGAUGACCACACACACCCAUUUAAGAAUUAGGUAACUAUGUCACUUAAUACGACAUAACCCAAUAACUCGUUUAAUACAUAUUUAACAUAAUUUACAUUGUACAUUGUACACCCUUUUGUCAUAAAUUACACUAUUUUAUAUUUCUAAAUAAUAUUAUAUAUUGAUAUUAUAAAAAAAUAUCAAUAAUCUCAAAAUUUGUACACCUCCUAACUUUUAAAAAGAAAUAAAAAAACUAAUUAAUUAAUGUUUAUUUUAUUCAUUAAUAUAUCAUAAUCCUACAUGUAUUUUAUUUGUUAUUUUUUUUAUUUAAAAAGAUAGGAGGGUGGAUGAAACUCAAAUAAAUUUUUAGCCUAUCCUGAUCUUUCAAGUUUCUUAUUUAGGAGGCCAGUUAAAAAAAAUUACUUAGAAAGCUACUCCAUCAAUUUAACAAAUUUUAUUUAUUUAAUUAAUGGAGGUGUAGAAAAUAAAAGUAUCUGCAAGCACAUUGCAAUAGUGAAAGCAAUGUACCGGUGUUGCAACAUAACUGAAUCUUGAUAACCUAUCACAUAUUUUAAGUUUUAAUAUUGGUAGUUCACGGAUCGGUUUCUACUUCCACGAACAAUUAUUGAAGGAAAUGAGUUUUUUUUUUAAUGAAUAUUUAUAGACCCCGAUUAAAUAUUCGAAUAUAUAAUAAAAGAGAAACUGACAUAGAAAUGAGAAAGAUAUUUGGAGGAGGCCAAAAAAAAAAAAAAAAAUGCAACAGAGAAUUAGAUCAGCAACACAAGUAACUAAUUAAUUCAUCUAUACAUCAUAAUCCUAUUUGUAUCUUCUUCCUUCUACUAAUUUACAUAUAAAUUUGGUUAGAUAAAACAUAUUUUAAUACUCGGUCACAAGCGGUGGAUAUAGAAAAUUAAUUUAGAGGGGGUAAUACCAUAACGAAAAAUAAUGAUUCAUAACUAAAAUCAACCCCAACAUCAAAACUUAUUUACAAGAUUACGCCCAGUCAAAGGUAAUUUUUCCUAAAAACUAAUACGAAAUUAAAUAAAUUUAACUUUUAGUGGGUUCAAGUGCCCACGCAUUCUGAACGUAGAUCCACCCCUGGCCCCGACUGAAGCAUUUUUUACAAUAUGUACUCAGUUUAUCAACAGGAACAACCUUCCACUUUAAAUUAAAAUUUUCACUUAAAAAUGAUUAAUGUUAAUGAGGUUAGCAACAAAAAUGAGUUUAAUUAGAGAAUAUUAUAAGAGAAAUUAUAUUUUUUGACUUUUAAUAAAUUAAAAUAUUAUUAGUUGGUGGUGGUUUCACGUCAGAUUAAGACGUGACACUUUACUUAUGAGGUCGAGACAAUCGACUUAAACUAUUUCAAUGCAUUUGAAAUUUGCACUAAUGGCUAUCAUUCUUUGUCCAAAUUAAUACGAUAAUUAAUAACAUACAAUUGAAAUAAUUAAUACUAGCACUUGGCAAUAAAUAAAGCUCUUGUGCUUGAAUCGUCACACAUGAUCACUUCAUUCCUUUAUUUACUUUGCUACCACAAAUUUUGAGGCAUUAUAACUAAAUAAUAAUUGAAUAGGGCUUUGUGUUACUUGUUGUGCGCGCGGAAUGCGGAAUCAAGCACACCAAAUUAUUACAGAAAAAUAAAGGACACAAUUAUUUGACGUGGUUCGGUAAUUAAACUUACAUCCACGGAGGCAAGAAAGAAUAAUUGUUUAUUUAACAAUUAAUAGAGUACAAAUAUUUGAGUAACGAAUCUCACUUCUCAGAAACCUAAAUAUACCCAAUACUCUCACACUCUGCAGGAAAGAUAAAUUAUCCAAACACACUUCUCUCACUUCUCUAAAAAACUUAAAAAUUUAAAAACUUAACAAUUUUGGAAUGCUUUAGAAUAGAAGAAGUGCCAUCUUAUAGGAAAAAUAAUGAUACUAUUGCACCAACCUCUUUACUAUUCCACCUAACAUAAGCAAAUUGUCAAUAGUGUCCAUUUAACUUUUUAUUUUUUUUCUUCAAUUGUUUAGUAGCCCUUUAAAAAUCUGCGUGGUUUCUUGAAAUUUAGAUGCCACAUGCAUGACUUUUCAACACUAAUUACUACGAUAAUUAAUAUUAGCACUUGGCAAUAAAUAAAGCUCUUGUGCUUGAAUCGUCACACACGAUCACUUCAUUCCUUUAUUUGCUUUGCUACCACAGAUUUUGAGGCAUUAAAACUAAAUAAUAAUUGAAUAUGGCUUUGUGCGUCGAUGACGCCAGCAACAAGGGGACCACAAUUAUCACUUUUUAAGUUGCUUUUAAAAUUGAUUUUAAUAGUGAUUUGAUUAUUGUAGUGUUUUUAUUUUUAUAUUAAAAUUAAGUCGAUUUGUUAUAAUAAACUUAGUUGAGUUUAAUGGUAUUACUACAUAAAUUGAAUAGUCAUCAAAUAUUUUAAUGUUUUUAUGGCAAGUGUUGACGUGGCAUUUAUUUGUUGUAUGAUGGAUUUUAAAAUUUAUAAAAUUAUUUGUUAUUAAAUUACCCCCAGAUGCUGCAUCACCUGAAACUUAAUAAAGGGCAUGUAGCAUUGCCAUUACUCAACAUUCACUCUUAUGACUUUAUGACAUUAGAAUUAAAAUCUUUCGUACAUUUAAUUUGUUUGCUUCCAGAUUAAUCUUUAAAAAUAUUUUUUUCACAUUAUCAUGAAUGGACAAAACUCCAACGAAAAUAACUACGCAAGAGCAAUCUAUGCUAGUAUUAUAUGCCACGAUAUCUAUAACUUUGUCAGGUCUCAGGAUCGAUCAUUCUAAUUUUUACGCAGAACUUUUAAUCAAUGGACAAACACCUCACCGAGCUUGUCGGCAGCAUUACUACGAUGUAAAAUUGUACCGGAAUAUCUUGAAGUAUUAGUAGAAUAAUGAAGACUAUUUGGAGCAAUAAAAACAAAUAACGCAGAUAAAAAAAAUGGCUAAAAUUAUGUAAGUGAGCCCCAAAGUUUUUGCUAUUUCCAGGAAAUCCCAAAUUUGAAUGGACUAGAGGGAGGCACGUAAGAAAUACAUUUUCUUCCUAGACAAUGACAGCUAUGACAUCAAGCCACGUAUUGAAAUUAAGGUGUAAUUAUUCAGCCAAUGAGCCUUACACACCAAGAUGUAUAAAAGUCAAGAAAAUGAAAUUUUAUCCCAAUUAAAACACUUUCUGGCUGCAAUUGGCUGUUUCCAUUUGAAGUUAAAAAACAACAACGUUUCUUUCGUUUUGUGGGCGAUUCGAUUGAGCACGCGCCACGAGCUAGCUGGCUUCCAGUGCUUGCGUGUGACAAUAGAAGGCUAGUGAUUUCACUUUCGCUUUUUUUUUUUUUUCUUUUUUUUGGGGAAUCAAGAUAAAAGCCAAGAAAAUGAAAAUUGGGCUGUUUCCAUUUGAAGUUAAAAACAGUGUUUCUUUCGGGGCGUCAAUUUGAUAUUUGAAUGGACAGGCAAGUAAGAAAUACAAUUCCUUCAUAGACAAUGACAACGAGGACAUCAAGGCACAUCAUUAUAGUUUGUAGCCCAUCUACAUUUAAACGAUUAAUAAACAAGCUUAGGUGUGCCACUGCUAUUAUUAAUUAUCCCCUGAUCAUUAUAGUUUCUGAAACAGUAAAACAAAACGAAAUUGAAUACAUCAACGAGAUCGCAAUUAUCACUUGUUUAGUUGCGGUAUUUAACUUAAUUUUAAUCUAAUAUAUUUGUUAGUUAAACUUUUAAUAAUCAAAUAAUUUUGACUUAAAAAUAAAAUUAUAGAAAUUAUUAAUUAUUAAAAAUUCACACAUAGCUAUUGUUUUCUCUAUAUAUUGCAGUGUGUACGAUAUUGAGGGUUGAAGCCCAAAGCAUGCCCUAAAAUCCAGAUAAUAAUUAGAUCCGGGCCAAAUAUUCAUCAUUGUGUCGGCUGAUCAGUCGGUGGACAUCUCUAUUGAAAAAAUCUCUGACAUUUCUCUCGACAAACUUAUUACUAAAAAAAAAUCAGUGGUUUUGCCGUCUGAAUAAUGUAGAAAAAUUUGUCUGUGCAUUAAUCUAGAUGUUUGAGGUGAUUUAUACAUCUGUGAUAAAGAUUUAUAGGUUGACUUAUACGUCUGUGGUAUAGAUUUUAUGUAUUUCAUUACAAAAUGCUGGCCGUUAGAACCCUUUCUACAUCUAUUUAUAAGAUUAACGGGUGCCAGUUAUGCCAUUACAAAUUAUCCCCUCAUCAGAUAUUUCGUUAAAAUUCAUUCUGAAACACUAAAACUAAAUAAUCGAACAUGGCUUUGCGGGUCGAUGAUGCCAGAAGCAAUUCGACUGCAAUUAUCACUUGUUUAGUUUCUGUGCUUGCCGUGGUUUACUUGGCAUGGAAUGUGAAAAAAUCAAGGAAAGCAAAUGCUAAACUGCCACCAGGACCUCCCGGCUUGCCUGUAGUCGGAUACCUCCCAUUUCUCGGAACUACUGACUUGCACAAGAAAUUCACGGAAUUAUCCGGAGUUUACGGUCCGAUCUUCAAGCUCUGGCUCGGAAAUAAAUUAUGUGUAGUGGUGAGCUCACCUUCCCUAAUUAGACAAGUGGUUCGUGAUCAAGAUACAACAUUCGCGAACCGUGACCCACCGAAGGCUGCACUAGUGGUCUCCUAUGGUGGCAAUGAUAUUGCAUGGUCCAAUUACGGUCCCGAAUGGAGAAAGUUGCGCAAAUUUUUUGUGGGCAAGAUGAUGAGUAACGCAAGCCUUGAUGCUUGUUAUGCUCUAAGAAAACAAGAGGUUAAAAAUACUAUCAGGGAUUUGUAUAACAACGACAACAAAAUUGGCAAGCCCAUUGACAUUGGUGAAUUGUCGUUUUCAACAUUGGUAUGUGCUAUACAGAACAUGCUGUGGGGUGAAGCGCUUGAAAUAAGAGAGAAAGGGACCACUAAUCUUGGGGCUGGGCUAAAAUUUAAGCUGGCAGAACUCAUGGUGCUUGCGGGAACACCGAAUAUUUCGGAUGUCUUUCCAAUGCUUUCAUGGCUUGACAUACAAGGUAUAGAGAGGAGAGCAAAGAAGAUUUCACUCUGGCUUGAAAAUGUUAUAAAUUCUACUGUUGAACAGCAUAGAAACAAGGAGUCAACUGUUGAAGGUGAAGAAAGAGCGGGGAAAAAUUUUGAAGGAUCAAGGAACAAGAACUUCUUGCAGUUACUAUUGGAGCUUCAAGAAAAUGAUGACAGUGCUUCCUCAAUUAGCAUGAACCAAUUCAAGGCCGUACUCAUGGUAUGUUAAGUAACUAGCAACGAACAGUUAUACAAGCACAGUUGUAUAUUUGCAUGAGUGAUAUUUUCAACCUUUUUUUUUAAUUAGAAUUUUAUUGUCACCUUUUGGACAGGAUAUAAUUACGGCUGGAACCGACACCACAGCUACGAUGGUGGAAUGGACAAUGGCAGAGUUGAUGCAGCAUCCACAAGUAAUGAAGAACGUUCAGGAAGAAUUAGCUCAAGUUGUGGGCAUGGACAGUUGUGUUGAAGAAUUUCACCUGUCUAGAUUAAAGUAUUUAGAUGCUGUGGUGAAGGAAACAUUUCGUCUGCAUCCUGCAGUGCCUUUAUUAGUACCACGCAGAGCAAGCGAGAGUGGCAGCAUUGGUGGCUAUACCAUUCCCAAAGAUACAACUCUUAUGUUGAAUGUUUGGGCUAUCCACAGGGACCCUCACCUUUGGGAUAAUCCCUUAGAAUUUCGACCCGAGAGGUUUCUGAAUGUUGGUGUCGAGAGUAAGUUCGAUUACUCAGGUAACAAUUUUCAGUACUUGCCAUUUGGUUCUGGUAGAAGAAUGUGUGCUGGGAUUCCUCUAGCUGAGAGGAUGCUGAUGUUUGUUUUGGCUUCGUUAUUGCACUCAUUUGAGUGGGAAUUGCCAGCUGGCACAAAGCUAAACUUAUCUGAAAAAUUUGGGAUUGUCAUUAAGAAAAAAGAGCCUUUGGUUGCUAUUCCAACACCAAGACUAUCCAAUUCAGAGCUCUACCAUUAAGACAAAAUGGUUGUGAUGAUUUUGUUAAUUUUCCGAAGAUUUGUAUGUUAUUUAGUUCAAUCGUAAUAAAAUAUUUCAAAUAAGAGUCCUCCGUUGCUUUUUUUUUUUUUUUUUUUUCAACGGCAUAAUCUGUCGUCAUGCUUGUAUUUGGAGCUACUUUGGAAUAAUUAUGUUUGAAUUACAAUUUAUAAAUAUUUACGUUUUAAAUUUUUUAUAAGAGUCUAAAUUUAUACACGUUUAAUAUCCCGCUUCAUAGAUAUUUAACACAAUUUAUAUCAUACAUUGUAUACCCAUUUGUCAUAAAUUAUACUAUUUUGUAUCUCUAAAUAAUAUUACGUAUUGAUAUUAUAAUAUAUAUAUAUAUGUUUAUCAAAAGACUAUACCAUUCAAUAUAUAUUGAAAAGAGAACAAAGAAGAUUUUCUUAUGGUUUAAAAAUAUUAUGAAUUCUGCUGUUGAACAGUAUGGAAACAAGGUCUCUGUUGUUAAAGGUGAAGAAGCAACAGGGAACAAUAUUGAAGGAAGAAAUUUCACAUGUUUAGUUGCUGAAUUUGCCGCUGUAUUCUAUCGGUAGUAGAGUUUUUAUUUUUCUCUAUUAAUUUAAGUCAAUUUUCUAUAACAAAUUCGGUUGAGUUUAAUUGUGUUAUAAUAUAAAUUGAAUGAUAAUAGAAUUUUCAACAAAUAUUUCAAUAUUUCUAUCUCGAUUGUUGAAGUGCCAUUUAUUUGUUAUGCGAUCGAUUUUAAAAUUUAUAAAAUUAUUUGUUACUAAAUUGCAUCAUAUGCUAAAAUCACCUGAAACCUAAUUCCAUAACUAACCCUUUAUUUUUAGUUCUCAAGAAAUCUUGUAAGAACAAAAAUCUUUUAUAACAAAACUUUUACAACACAUUAAUUUGUAACUCAUUCCUGUGCGCGAAUCACUCUCAAUUUCCUUCAAUUGCUGUUUAACAAUCAUCUACUUAUCAAAAUUCAAGCAUAAUCUUUUUUUUUUAAUUUCUUCAUCAUUCUUUAAAAAAAAAAUCAGGAUAUGCUGUUAAAUUUUGAAAUAAAUAAAUUAACCAAAGUUGGUUGAUGUGAGUGGUUCAAUGAUGAGCAUAAUUUAUAUACAUAUUUUACCUUUAAUUAUAUAAUUAUUAGUUAUUUUUAUUAGUUAUUUUUAAUUAAUUGAAUUAUUUUAUUGCAUAGAGAAUUAAUUGGAGAUUGGGAAACAAAAAGUGCAUAAAGAAUAACAAGUUUGGGAAAGCAUCAAUCAAAGCCGUGACGCAAUUAAGAGUUUAUAGCAUAUGAAGCCAAGAGUAAUUUGCACUCAAAAAGAAUUUCAAUUAUUCAAGUGACCUGGACCUGCAUGGCAUUGUAAUGCAUGGAAAGCAACUUAAAGGGGCCCACACUUGGCUUUUACAAUUGGAAAAAGGAAUCCUAGUGCAAGCUUAAUUGAUGAGCACGUGAGUGAGAGCAAAGAAAAUUAAAAGGCCAAGCCUUUUGGCUUAAGGAAAUAACAAGGUCGGUGGGGCCCAUUUUAAAGAGUAAUAUAAAAGCAAGCUUUUGGCUUUUGGAGAGAGGAGCCGCGAGAGGAGGAAAACGCAAGACAAAGAGAAGAAAAUCUGCAGCAGUUCGGCUUCUAUGGUUGGUUUUAUCUCUUUUGUUACUCUUAAUUCAAAUAUGUCUAGUUAAUUUUCUUAUAUUAAAGUUAAGGAUGAAACCCUAUUCAAUGAAAUAAUUAUCUUUUUAUUUAUUUAAUUCCCAUAUAUGUUCUUUAAUGAUUAUGAUUUUUAUUUCACAUGAUUAAUUGGAUGUUAUUAAAAUUUUUUCAUCAAUUCUGUCAUGCAUUAUUGAUUGUUAGGAUUAAUAUUCAAUUAAAUCUAUACUUAGAUUUAUAACGUUUAUACAUGAUUAUCUUUGAUUCUAUGUCUUUCAUUAAAUUGUUUACAUGGAGUGCUUAGGAAAACUUUGACUCUUUGUUAUUCAAUAUGUUCACAUGGGAUACUUAGAUGUCAUACUAUUAAGCGGAAAAAGAACCUAUAUUAGAUUUAAUUAUUUGGGCUUAAUUGUUAUAUCCAUGAGAUGACACAAAUUGAUUUCGAGUUGUCACUCUAAAAUUAGAGAUUAAUGAAUAUUUAGAUAAUUACUAGUUGAAUAGCGGUGGAUUCUGAAACCUUGGUAAUUUCUAUCUUAUUGAAUUCUCCUUUACUUUAAUUGUUUUCUUAGUUUAAUUAAUUUAAUUUCUUUUAAAACUCAAUUUGCUUAACUAGGUUAGAAUUAAUAUUAAUUUUAGAUUUAAAUUAGACUUUUCAAUUUAUAACAAUCCAUGUGGGAUCGACCUCGUUACCACUACUUUAUUUCUAGAUUCGUGCACUUGCGAGUAUAUUAAAAUUUUCACAACAAGUUUUUGGCGCCGUUGCCGGGGAUUGUGCCAGAAAGUCAGUUUAAUCUAGGUUGAUUUGAUUCUUCCACUAGUUAUAAUUUAUGUUGUCUUUUAUUUUAUUAUUAUUUUUAAUUAACAAAAACACACAAAAAAACUUUUAUUUUUCUUUAAAUUCAUUGUUUGGUUGUUUGAUUUCUUUUAUUUUUUAAAUUUUGUUUAUUCUCAUUAUUGUUGGUUUAUUUUAUUUUAUUUUUUUCUUUCCUUGUCUAGUUAGUUUAUGAGUGUUUGGGAAUGUGAUUCAACAAAUCGUUUGGUAAAAGAGAGUCAAAAAUUGAUAGUAGUCAAGUUAGUUCUUCUGAAGUCAUGGAUGACCCAAAUAGAUUAUUGCCAAUACUUCCACCAGUGCAAGCAGAGAAAACCCUUAGAGAAUAUUUUUCACCACUUGCAGCCAACCAACCAUCUUGUAUUGUGUUGCCACAAACUACAGCAACACACUUUGAACUUUUUGAACUUAAGCCCUCAGUCAUCCAACUUUUACCAUCUUUCCAUGGGUUAGAGAGAGAGGAUCCAUAUUUGCACAUUAAGGAAUUUCUUGACAUAUGCUCUACAUUCCGUUUUCAAAAUUUUAAUGAUGAGUUAAUCAGGCUUCGUAUGUUAUCUUUCUCAUUAAAAGACAAAGCAAAAGCUUGGUUGAAUUCGCUUUCUGCUGGGUCUAUAACUACGUGGGAUGAAUUGAAUAAUAAGUUCCUCACCAAGUUUUUCCCUAUGUCUAAAACAAAUGCCCUUAGGAGAGAGAUAAGUGAUUUCUAUUAAAGAGAGGGUGAGCAAUUUUAUGAGUGUUGGGAAAGAUUCAAUGAUUUACUCCUCAAGUGCCCCCACCAUGGUUUUGAGAAAUGGAGACUUAUACAAUGCUUUUAUAACGGUUUAACCAUGUCGAAUCGUCAUAUGGUAGAGUCUAUGAAUGGUGGGAGAUUUUUGAACCUACAUGAAGGGGCUGCAUGGGAUUUCUUUAAUUCACUUUCUGAGAAUUCUCAACAGUGAGAUUUUUCAAGCCAAAGGGAAAAAUCAUCUCAAGUUUCUAGAAAGGGGUUAUAUGAAGUUAAGGAUGAUUUUGAUGUGAAAUCCACUCUAAUUACACUUUCUAGAAAAGUAGAUGCCUUAGCUCUGAACCAAUCAAUGAAUCAUCAUCCUAGUGUAGCUAAUGAGGUUUGUGCUAUUUGUUCUAACUUGUCUCAAACAGCACAAAACUGUCCAUCAUUACCAGUCUAUCCAGAGGCUUAUUCUGAGCAGGUACAUGCCUUACAAUCAUAUGAGAAAACCUCCAAUAAUACAUAUUCACUCACAUAUAAUCCUAAUUGGAGGAAUCACCCUAAUUUUUCUUGGAAACAAAAUCAAUCUUUGUCAAACCAAGGAGGACAACAAUUUAACAUGCCCAAUCAACAAUUUGUCCCUCCUAACCAAGUAUAUCCUCCUGCCCAACAACCUAUAUCUCAAUUUGUUACACCCCAACAAAGAAAACCUUCUUUAGAGGAUACACUUCAAAGUUUCAUUCAGUCAACCUAAUAAGCUUUUCAGUCAAACACUCAAGCUAUUCUAAAGCUUGAACAUCAAUUGGGUCAAUUAGCAACUACUGUAGCGGAGAAAGAAAAAAGAAAAUUCCCCAGUCAAUCAAUUCCUAAUCCUAAAGGAGUGCAUGAAGUUGGAUCGAGUUCAAGCCAUCAGCAUGAAGAAGCAAAAUCAAUUAUGACCUUGAGAAGAGGAAAAUUGUUUGACAACAAAGUGGAGGUUCAAACAAAGAAGACAUCUGAGCCUACUUCUUCAGAUCCAAUUACAUCACAAGAAUCAUCACCAAAUGAUCUUGAAGAGAGUGACCCGCUAGCUUACAUUCCCAAGGCUCAUUUUCCUCAAAGGUUAACAAAGGUAAAGAAAGGGACUUCAACAUGUGAGAUUAUAGAAAUCUUCAAGCAGGUAAGUAUAAACAUCCAUUUACUCGAUGCUAUUAAGCAAGUUCCUUCCUAUGCCAAGUUUUUGAAAGAUUUAUGCACUAAAAAGAGAAAUUUGCAUGUCACUAAAAAGGCGUUUUUAACUGAACAAACUAGCAAUUUACUUCAAUGUAAAAUGCCACCAAAAUUUAAGGAUCCUGGUUCUCCUACUAUUUCAUGUGUUAUAGGGAACCAAUGUUUUGAUAAAGCAUUAUUGGAUUUAGGUGCUAGUGUUAAUCUCUUACCUUAUUCCAUUUACAUGCAGCUUGGACUAGGUGAGUUAAAAUCAACUCCUAUUAUUUUGCAACUUGCUGAUAGGUCAAUGAAAAUACCUCGUGGUAUUAUAGAGGAUGUGUUGAUACAGAUUGACAAAUUUUAUUAUCCUGUUGAUUUUAUUGUUAUUGAUACUCAACAUGUACAUGAUCUUAAGAAACACACUCCACUUAUUCUUGGUCGUCCUUUCUUAGCUACAGCUGAUGCUCAUAUUAGUUGCAGGACUUGAAACAUGCAAUUGUCUUUUGGUAACAUGACCAUGGAAUUAAAUAUUUUUAAUGUUCCCAAGCAGGCACAAGAAGAUGAUGAAGUCGUUGAAGUAGAUAUGAUAGAAGCAUCAAUUGAUGACUCACUUAUUUCUAACCAUUGUGACAAUCCAUUAAUACCUUGCACAACUGACUCUGAUUUCUCUAUUGAUGUUGAUAGUGAUAUUGAAGAAGUUAAUGCUUUACUUGAUUCGACUCUUAUCAUAGAUCUAAUUAAGUGGAAAGAAAAGAUAAGAUUGAGCCACUUCCUCCUGAAGAGAAAAGUGCAACAUAGGUCACAUUCUGACAUAAAAAAGGUGGUAAGAUCUAAAACGCUUAAAUUAUUAGAUUUUUAUACUACUUUAGAUAACUCUCAGGAAAGCUUAGAACAGAAGAGAUCAAAGCAAUGCGAUAUUGAGGAGUUUCAUUACCAUCAUCCUUUUAUGGAUAAAAUGCUCCAGUGCUUAAUCAAUUAUGCUUUUUGGUAUUUUCUAUAUAAUUGCUUUAAUUUUCACCAAAUUCUUAUUGAUCCUGGUUGAUUUGUUGUUUACAUUAAUUAGUUAGUUAGUCGGAUUUUUUUAUUAUUAUUUAUAUUUCUUCUAACGUUUUCUUUUGAGUUGUCAUUCUUUUAAGUUUUCCUAGCUCAGUCAGGUGUGUUCUCUCCAACUUUCUCUUUUAUUAUUUAUGUUUUUAUUUUUCAUCUUUUUGCGUGCAUAUCUUUUAUUUAUGACACAUUGAGGACAAUGUUCCGAAUAAGUUUGGGGGUGGGAAUAAUGUUGCUUUGUUUGUUAAAAAAAACUAAAAAAAAAUUUCAAAAAUUCAAAAAAAAAUUGUGUUUUUUUUGUUUUUACGUGAAAAGCCAAUGAUAAAAACUUGAUUGACAAUGAAUAUGGUUUUUAGAAAGGGUUUAAUAUUGUCUUAAUUUAUACUUGAUUCUUAUGUUAGUUCCUCUUGAUUGAGAUUCUUUAAAAUAUAAGCACUAAUAUCAAUUCUUUCAUAAUUUUGACUUGAAAUUUGAGAUUGACGCAGCCUGAGUUGAGAAUUUUAGAUAGAGUAAAUGACUGUUUGUCUUUAUUCUUAUCUCCACAAUACAAAAUAGUAUACACAGGCACCAAAGUCAGAAAUAACUACCUAUAAUCCUUAAGAGUGAAGCUAUCCUUGAGUAAUUUAGGCCUAUGUACCACAAGUAUGUAGAGGAUAAUCUACCAUGAGAAGAAUGCUACCUUAAGGGGUAGAGUGAAAGCUCCUGACUAUGGUUAAAAAAAAAAGAAGAAGAAAAAGAGAAAGAAAAAAUCAAAUCAAGUGCAUGUGCUGAAAAAAAAAUCAAAAGAAAAUGCACAUAAAAGCCUGUGAAAAAAAAAUUGGAGAUUAAGAUGAUAAGAUUAGCUUGACCUACUCUUUUCUUUUUUUGAGGCGAAGGUUGUUGAUAUUGAAGAUUUUAGGAAUGAAUUUGAUUGAAUUGAUUUCACACACACACAACAAGAAUCGAAAGAGAGAUGGGAUUGAUUAUUGAAUUAAAGUUAGAACUUUGCCAAUAUUUGAAAUUUUGUUUGAGCUAUAUAAUUUAUGCAAUCUUUGAGGGUAUUUUCAUAUUUUAUUUAAAGUUUUUUUUUCUUUUUAUUUUAUUUUAUUUAUUUUUUAUUUUUUUAAAAUGAUGUUUGUGGGUGUCAUCACUGAAGCUCUCACGAGACUAUAACUCGUCCACUAGGGGUUUAAAGGCUUGUUGCAUACGCUAAAUGCAAUCGCGAUUACCUGCGAAAAUGGUUUAGUUAGGAUUUACUUUUUGUUUUGUUAUUUUUUUUUUUUUUUUUAGUUUUAGCUUUGCUCGAGGACUAGCAAAAUCUAAGUUUGGGGGUAUUUGAUGAGCAUAAUUUAUAUACAUAUUUUACCUUUAAUUAUAUAAUUAUUAGUUAUCUUUAUUAGUUAUUUUUAAUUAAUUGAAUUAUUUUAUUGCAUAGGGAAUUAAUUGGAGAUUGGGAAACAAAAAGUGCAUAAAGAAUAACAAGUUUGGGAAAGCAUCAAUCAAAGCCAUGACACAAUUAAGAGUUUAUAGCAUAUGAAGGCAAGAGUAAUUUGCACUAAAAAAGAAUUUCAAUUAUUCAAGUGAUCUGGACGUGCAUAGUAUUGUAAUGCAUGGAAAGCAACUUAAAGGGGCCCACACUUGGCUUUUACAAUUGGAAAAAGGAAUCCUAGUGCAAGCUUAAUUGGUGAGCACGUGAGUGAGAGCAAAGAAAAUUAAAAGGCCAAGCCUUUUGGCUUAAGGAAAUAACAAGGUCGGUGGGGCCCAUUUUAAAGAGUAAUAUAAAAGCAAGCUUUUGGCUUUUGGAGAGAGAAGCCGCCAGAGGAGGAAAACGCGAGACAAAGAGAAGAAAAUAUGCCGCAGUUCGACUUCUAUGGUUGGUUUUAUCUCUUUUGUUACUCUUAAUUCAAGUAUGUCUAGCUAAUUUUCUUAUAUUGAAGUUAAGGAUGAAAUCAUAUUCAAUGAAAUAAUUAUCUUUUUAUUUAUUUAAUUCCCAUAUAUGUUCUUUAAUGAUUAUGAUUUUUAUUUCACAUGAUUAAUUGGAUGUUAUUAAAAUCUUUUCAUCAAUUCUGUCAUAUAUUAUUGAUUGUUAUGAUUAAUAUUAAAUUAAAUCUAUACUUGGAUUUAUAAAGUUUAUACAUGAUUAUCUUUGAUUCUAUGUCUUUCAUUAAAUUGUUUACAUGGAGUGCCUAGGAAAACUUUGACUCUUUGUUAUUCAAUAUGUUCACAUGGGAUACUUAGAUGUCGUACUAUUAAGCGGAAAAAGAACCUAUAUUAGAUUUAAUUAUUUGGGCUUAAUUGUUAUAUCCAUGAGAUGACAUAGAUUGAUUUCGAGUUGUCACUCUAAAAUUGGGGAUUAAUGAAUAUUUAGAUAAUUACUAGUUGAAUAGUGGUGGAUUCUGAAACCUUGGUAAUUUCUAUCUUAUUGAAUUCUCCUUUACUUUAAUUGUUUUCUUAGUUUAAUUAGUUUAAUUUCUCUUAAAACUCAAUUCGCUCAACUAGGUUAGAAUUAAUAUUAAUUUUAGAUUUAAAUUAGACUUUUCAAUUUAUAACAAUCCCUGUGGGAUCGACCUCGUUACCACUACUCUAUUUCUAGAUUCGUGCGCUUGCGAGUAUAUUAAAAUUUUCACAACAUUCGGCACUCUCACUCCUUAAGAGAGGUCAGGGGUUCAAGCCUCGCUCUCGUAUGGAGUCACCACUUUGACCAGCACUUUACCCCUUACAGACCGACCCGGUGCGAGCAUGAAUUAGUCUGGGUUGUGGUACGGGCUUAAAGGUGCCUCCCACAAUUGAGACCCACUCAGGACCACCUCGUGGUUCGGACAAAAAAAAAAUUGAAAUAAAUUAUCUCAAAAUAAUUACUAACCAGAAAAAACAAAGGGGUUUAACUAGGUUAUGCAUACCUUUGAAAAUUAUAUGUUGAUCGAUAAGCAUGAUGAUCACGAUUGAGGAGUUUAAUUAAAAUUUAUAAGAUUUUAAAAUUAAUCAGGGUUAAAUUCUAAAUUUUAGAAAGAGAGGUUUUGUGAGAAUGCUGAAAGGGUGUUAAUAGUUCCACUCUUUUUUAAAAAAACCAUAGUCAUCAUUUUUCCCGAUUUCUUCUUCCCAUCUCCAUCUUAUUUAGAAAUUUCCCAGAGCCUUUGUUUCCCACCAUUCAUUUUUCUUCUUUCUAAUUUAAGAUUAUAGUAUUAUAAAAAUAAUUACUCACAUUUUAUCAAACACCUCCAUUAUACCAAGGCCUUGUUUUAGUAGUAGGCUUUUAUUAUCUCAAUAAAAUUGAAAAAACAAAGCUCAAUAAUAUUGGAAAAAAAACCUACCCAUAUUUGUAACUUUAAUUUAUUAUUCUCCAUAGACCUACUUUUUAGCUUUGAAUUUUGUUGGAGCCAUAUAUAAACAGAAUAUGUUGAAAUCAGCACAAAAAAAAAACUAAUUAUAUAAUUUUUGUUCCCAAGGACACGACUGUGUGAUUUUUAAGAAGUUUUGUUUGGCUGGCCACUUAGGUUUAAAUCUUGGUGGAGAUUAGGGGUUAAGAAAUAAAUUUGGACUUUGCACACCCCUUUAACUUUUAAAAAGAAUGAAAAAAACUAAUUAAUUAAUCUUUAUUUUAUUUAUUAAAUGUCAUAAUCAUAUGCAUAUUUUAUUUGUUAUCUUUCUAUUUAAAAGAUAGGAGGGCAAAUAAAACUGAAAUAAAUGUUUAUCCCUAUCUCCAUCUUUCAAGUUCCAUAGUUAGGUGACCAGCUAAAGAAAAUUAAUUGAAAGUUACUCCAUCAAAUUAAAAAAAAUUAUUUAUUUAAUUUGUGGAGAUGUAGAAAAUCAAACCCCAUACCUUUUCGCAUGCAAAAGUGUCAACCUGGUCUAGCUAUGUUGCAACAGUAAACAUAUUUUAAUACAUGACUAUCAUCUUUUAUCCUAAAUACUACUAUAACUAUGGGUUCAGUUAUGCUGUAACUGUGGUAUGGUACCACAGUUGUUUUCAACCAUUAAAUUCAACUUAUAUAACUAUGCAACUGUAGAUCUAACGGCUGAAAGCAACUAUGGUACCAUACCACAGUUGCAACAUAGUUUUGCCCCUAUAACUCAUAACAUUCAAUUGAAAUAAUAAAUGUUAACACUUGGCUAUAAAUAAAGGUUUUGUACUUGAAUCUUCAUGCAUGACCUUCAUUCCUUUAUUGACUUUGCUAACACAGAUUUUGAGGCAUUAAAACUAAAUAAUAAUUGACUUUGUGGGCCGAGGAUGCCAGCAACAAGGAGACCACAAUUAUCACUAGUUAAGUUACUCUAAUUGCCGUUGUCUUAUAUUCAUAAAAUAUUAGUAAUAAGAUUAUUGUAGAAUUUUUUUAUAUUAAAAUUAAGUCAAUUUGUUAUAACAAAUUUAGUUGAGUUUAAUCGUGUUACUACAUACAUUGAAUAAUAAUAGAAUUCUCGACAAAUAUUUCAAUAUUUUUAUCCCAAGCGUUGGAGUGGCAUUUAUUUGUUAGACAAUCGAUUUUAGAACUUAUAAAAUUAUUCGUUACUGAAUUGCACCAUAUGCUGCAUGACCUGAAACUUAAUAAACGGAACGUAGCGUUGGCAACAUUCACUGUCAUGACUUUGUGACAUUAGAAUUAAAUUUUUUUGCACAUUUAAUUUGUUUACUUCCAAAUUAAUAUUUAACAAAAUAUUUUUUCACAUUAUCAAUGGACAAAACUCCAACGAAAAUAACUAUACAAUAUAUGCUAGUAUUGUAUGCCAUAUCAUCUGUAAUUUUGUCAGGAUCGAUCAUUUUAAUUUUUAAGCAAAACUUUUUAUCAAUGGACAAACACCUCACACAGCUUGUCAGAGGCAUUAUUAUGAUGGAAAACUGAUAAACAGUGAACUCGAAACUCAAUUACUACAAGUCGUUUAGAGGAUUCAGUCUUGGAUGACUUGUCACUUGUGGAAUUCUUGAAGCCAGAACCGACAUAAUCUCAGUCGUCAUUCUGUCUUAAGUAAUACACAUGGUUUGCAUGUGUGUUGAAGCUGACUCUUUGCUUGGAUCAAGAAACGACGUCUUUGAGUGCCGUUUCUUAAACACACUUUAAAUCAGCUUGUGUCAAGCACGUGAGGUAGAGCUUUUUGAAUAGAUUUGGCGGGAAUGGUAGUUAGUGUAACAACCCAGAAAUAGAGGUUAAAAGGUGAAGGCUUUGUCAUCAUCUACACAUGAUUUGGGAAACAUUGAGAGUAGAGAAAAAGAUAGAGAGAGAAAGGGGUUAACAAGUUCUUGUUCUCUGUAAAUCGAUUUAUAUUCUUGUAAAGUUUGUGAUCUCAAUUAGUGAAAGACUGUUGCUUUGUUUCCAGUGGAUGUAGGCACCACUUCUUGGUGCUGAACCACUUAUACUUGGUGUCAUAUUGUUUCUUUAAUGCUUUGAUUCUUGCGUGUGAUUGUUGCUGGAUAAUCUGUGCUGUUAAUUCUCAAACCAUUGAUACAGAAUUAAUGUCUUGGGGAGAAUUUGGUUAGUCUUAUCAAAGCCGAAUUCACAACAAAUUGGUAUCAGAGCCCUCUUUUCUGUAUCAAGGUUCAAGAAAUGACUAACAAGGUGGAUCUUGAGAAGUUCAAUGGUCAGAAUGAUUUCAAUAUGUGGAGGAUCAAGAUGGAAGCAUUGUUAAUCACACAAGGUCUGGGAGAUGCCAUUGAUCCAGUCAUUAAGAGUGAAAAUGCAGAAGCCUAUUCUUCAAGAACUCCAGAACAGAUGGCUAAGAUUGAAAAAAAGGCAAGAAGCACCAUCAUCCUCAGUCUUGGUGACUUAGUGAUAAGGGAAGUUGCCAAGAAAAAGACUGUUGCUAGGCUCUGGGCAAAACUGGAACAAUUGUAUAUGACAAAGUCCUUAGCAAACAGGCUAUACAUCAAGAAAAAGAUGUUCUCACUGAGGAUGAUUGAAGGAGCAUCACUUGAUGAACACAUAGAUGAGUUUAAUAAAGUUUGUGAUGAACUGGAAACAAUUGAUGAAGGACUGAGUGAUGAGAGCAAGGCUUUGCUGUUAAUCAGUUCUUCACCAAAAUCAUAUGAACAUUUUGUGGAUGCCUUGUUAUAUGGAAGGCAAUCACUCUCCUUGGAAGAGGUUAAAUCUACUCUUGGUACCAAGAAGUUAAAAGAAAAACAAGAUAACUCAGAGAGUGAAUCAAGUGAAGGGCUGAUGGCAAGGGGCAGAUCUGAAAAAAAGGAGUACAAAGGAAAAAAACAAGGGAGAUCAAAGUCAAAGCAGAAACAUUUGAAGUGUUUUCACUGCCACAAAGAAGGGCAUUUCAAGAGGGAUUGCCCUGAGAGAAAAACAAAGCAAAAGGAAUCAAAAGACAAAUCUGGAAAUACAGCAAUAGCCACAGAAGAAACCAGUUUUGAGAUAGCUGAAGUCCUCAUUGCCACAAAAGAAAAAAACUCAAGGUCAGUGGGUACUAGACUCUGGAUGUACUUUUCAUAUGAGUCCAAAUAGAAAUUACUUUACUACAUAUCAGUCCUGUGAUGGGGGUAUGGUGCUGAUGGGAAAUAAUUCAGUUUGUAAAGCAGUUGGGAUUGGGACUGUAAGCCUUAAGAUGUAUGAUGGCAUGGUUAGAGAACUAACUCAGUUUAGGCAUGUUCCUGAGCUUAAAAGGAACCUAAUAUCUAUUGGCAUGCUUGAUCAAACUGGAUGUGUCAAUAAGGCUGAAAAUGGGUCAUUGAAAGUUAUCAGAGGCUCAAUAGUCAUAAUGAAAAGUUCCAAGCAAAAUGGUUUGUAUGUGUUGAAUGGACAUACAACUGUUGGAGAGGCAAGUGUCACUGAGAAGAGUGAAGACAAAGCAAGACUAUGGCACUUGAGGUUGGGGCAUAUGAGUGAAAGGGGAUUGAAGGAGCUUCAAAAGAAUGGGGUGUUUGGAAGUGACAAGCUAAGUUCUUUGGGGUUCUGUGAAGACUGUAUCCUAGGGAAGGCUUCCAAUCUCAAGUUUGAAUCUGCAGUUCAUUCUACCAAAGAGAAGCUUGCAUAUAUACACUCUGAUAUGUGGGGGCCUGCACAGGUAAAUUCUCUUGGUGGCUUUAAGUAUUUCUUAUCCUUAAUAGAUGACUAUUCAAGGAUGGUUUGGGUGUAUGUACUCAAAACCAAAGAUGAAGCUUUGGAAAAGUUUUAGAGGUGGAAAAUUCUGGUAGAAACACAGACAAGUUUGAAAGUAAAAGCUCUAAGAACAGAUAAUGAAUUGGAAUUCUGCAACAAAGAGUUUGGAGACUUUUGUAAAAGACAUGAGAUUAUGAGGCACAAAACAGUCAUACACACACCUCAGCAAAAUGGUUUUGCUGAGAGAAUGAACAGAACCUUAAUGGACAAGGUGAGGUGUAUACUGCUAUACUCAAAGCUGCCUAAGUCACUCUGGGCAGAGGCCUUAAACACAGCAUGUUACUUGGUAAAUAUAAGUCCAUCUACAGCAAUAGAAUGCAAAACACCUAUCGAGCUAUGGUCUGGAAGGGUUGCAGAUUACUUUAAACUGAGAAUCUUUGGAUGUGUUGCUUAUGCAUAUGUCAAACAAGGCAAAUUGGAGCCAAGAGCUUUAAGGUGUAGAUUUCUAGGAUACCCUGAUGGAGUUAAAGGCUAUAGGCUAUGGUGCAUUGAUUUGAAGCCACCAAAAUGCAUUAUCAGCAGGGAUGUAACUUUCAAUGAGUCAGAAAUCUUGAACAAAUCCAAAACCACUUAAUCCAAAGAUCAUAUAUCAGAAACAAGACCUGGGAGUGUUCAGUUUGAGGUGGAGUCCUAUGAACAAGAUAGGACUGAAUCAGAAACUGAAGGAGAUUCAGGAAGGGUUACUGAUGGAUUUGAUGUUGUUCAGGAGUCAGAGCCAGCUGAGAAUGAAGAUAAUUCUUAUCAGUUGGUCAGGGAUAGAAAGAAGAGAGCUGUAAGACCACCUAAGAGGUAUACAAUAGCAGAUUUCAUAGCUUAUACAUUAACAGUUGCACAAGAGGUAAAUGAGGAAGAGCUAAGAACCUAUAAAGAAGCUAUAAACAGCAUGGAUAAGAUGAAAUGGAAGGAGGCUAUGGAUGAGGAAAUUGAAUCACUAAUGAAAAAUGGAACUUGGAAGCUGAUAGUUAGACUAGAAAAAAGGAAGACUGUUAGCUGCAAAUGGAUCUUCAAAGUUAAGGAAGGUAUAUCUGAUGCUGAACCUAGUAGGUUUAAAGCUAGGCUGGUAGCAAGAGGCUUCACACAAAGAGAGGGGAUUGAUUUCCAUGAAAUCUUCUCUCUAGUUGUGAAACAUGCCUCCAUCAGAGUCAUCUUAGCUUUAGUUGCCAUUCAAGACAUGUACCUGGAGCAUAUGGAUGUUAAAACAGCCUUCCUGCAUGGUGAAUUACAAGAAGAAAUUGUAAUGGAACAGCCUGGGGGGUAUGUGGUGUCUAGUAAGGAAAAUCAUGUGUGCUUACUAAAGAAAUAUUUAUAUGGAUUAAAGCAGUCUCCUAGGCAAUGGUACUUGAAGUUUGAUAGUUUUAUGACAAAACAUGCCUACAAGAAAUGCAAUUAUGAUUGUUGCGUGUACUUUAGGGACAUUGGUGAUGGAAAGAUGAUUUAUCUUAUGCUGUAUAUGGAUGACAUGCUUAUAGCAUGUCACAGCAUAGAUGAAAUCAGUCAUUUAAAGAAUCUCUUGAGCAGUGAAUUCGAUAUGAAAGAUCUUGGAGCUGUAAGGAAGAUCUUAGGUAUGGAAAUUAUCAGAGACAGGAGAAGGAAGCUUAUGUUUUUAACCCAACAGAGCUAUGUUAAGAAGGUGUUGCUUAGAUUUGGGAUGCAUGAAUCCAAGUCUGUUCAAACACCUUUGGCAAAUCACUUCAAGCUGUCUGCUGCACAUUGUCCACAAACUGAUGCAGAGCAAGGAAAAAUGGCAAGGAUACCUUACUCCAGUGCAGUUGGGAGCCUCAUGUAUGCCAUGGUUCUCACUAGACAUGAUAUCUCACAUGCUGUGAGUAUAGUGAGUAGAUUCAUGGCAAAUCCAGGUUAUGAGCAUUGGAGGGCAGUCCAGUGGAUAAUGAGGUACCUGAAAGGCACUAUGGAGUUUGGUCUGCUAUAUGGAGGGUUAAAACAGGAAGGGCACAAGCUGGUGGGGUAUGUUGACUCAGACUUCGCUGGAGAUCUUGAUAAAAGGAGGUCUCAGACAUGUUUUAUAUUCACUUUGGGAGGCUGCACUGUGAACUGGAAAGCUACUCUGCAAAGUGUGGUAGCUUUGUCCACAACUGAAGCCGAAUAUACAGCAGCUGCAGAAGCUUUUAAGGAAGUCAUCUGGUUAAAAGGAAUGGUCUCAGAGUUAGGAGCAAAACAAGAAACAGUUGAAGUAUACUGUGAUAGCCAGAGUGCAAUACAUUUGAGUAAAAACCAGACCCAUCAUGAAGGAACAAAACAUAUUGAUGUAAAGCUUCAUUUUGUAAGACUUGAAGUUUCAAAGGGAACUGUGAAGAUGCUCGAGGUUCACACUGAUCAAAAUCCAACCGAUAUGUUGACUAAAGCUGUGCCUUCUGCCAAGCUCAACUUCUGUUUGAGCUUAGCAGGAAUUUGCAGUUUCUGAUCAGCUGCAAAAGAAAGGGAAUAAAGUAUACAGGAGUAGCUAGAGUUCAGAGUUCACACUGAUUAAAAGGUGCAGGCUUUGUCAUCGUCUACACAUGAUUUGGGAAACACAGAGAGUAGAGAAAAAGAUAGAGAGAGAAAGGGGUUAACAAGUUCUUGUUCUCUGUAAAUCGAUUUCUAUUCUUGUAAAGUUUGUGAUCUCAAUUAGUGAAAGAUUGUUGCUUUGUUUCCAGUGGAUGUAGGCACCACUUCUUGGUGCUGAACCACUUAUGCUUGGUGUCAUAUUGUUUCUUUAAUGCUUUGAUUCUUGCGUGUGAUUGUUGCUGGAUAAUCUGUGCUGUUAAUUCUCAAACCAUUGAUACAGAAUUAAUGUCUUGGGGAGAAUUUGGUUAGUCUUAUCAAAGCCGAAUUCACAACAAAAACUGUAAUGGUAUAUCUUGAAUUAUUGGUAGAAUAGUUCUUUGGAGCAAUAAAAACAGAUAAGACAGAUGAGAAAAUUGUCAAUACCCCACCGCAAAAGCAAAAGAAAACAAGGAAAGGAGACAAAAGAGGAAGAAGAAAAAGAAAAAAGAACGAAGAAAAAAAUGGUGCCGUGCGGUAUAGGCAAGAAGAAAAAAUAAUAAAAAAUAAUAAAAUAAUAGUGCACAACAAUCAUUUGAUUGCUAUAAAUAAAAGGCGUUUCCCUCAUUUUAUUCAUCGAAUUCUUCAGUUCCUUUCAAGCGAUUUAAGAGUCUAGUGAUUUGAGAGUUUGGGUGUAGUAUGAUUUUGGGUAGUGAGCUAAAAUACUACAAUACUUGUAACUCAUUUUUAUUAGUAAAAUAUUUUCCUUCUGACUUCGCCCGUGGACGUAUGCUAAAAGCCGAAUCACGUAAUUUCUGGUGUCCCUAUGUGAUUAUGUGUCUCAUUAUUUCUUAAUUUCACUUUAGUUGCGUGUCUGCGACACCCCUCAAUUUAUUAACAAAAAAUGGCCAAAAUUAUAUAAGUGACCCAAAUUUUUUUGUUAUUUCCAAGAAAUCCCCAAUCUGAAUGGGCUAGACCAGAGGGAGGCAAGUUAGAAAUACAUUUCCUUCAUAGACAAUAACAGUGAUGAGUCGAUGACAUCAAGCCACGUCGGUAUCAAUAUUGAAUUAAAGGUGCAAUUAUUCAGCCAAUGAACCUUACACAUCAAGAUAAAAGUCAAGAAAAUGAAAAUUUAUCCCAAUUAAAACACUUUCUGGCUGCAUUUAGUUGUUUCCAUUAGAAGUUAAAAACAACGUUUCUUUCGUUUUGUGGGCAACUCAACUGAGUUAGCUGGCUUCUAGUGCUAGUAUGUGAAAAUAGAAGGCUAAUGAUUUAUUUAUUAUCUUUUGACAAAAUUAUUAAAGAUAUAAUAGAUUUUCUAUGAUACAAGUGAAAAAUCACAUCAACAUAGCUUUCAAUCUACAGCAGCUAGCGUUUACCAAACACUUUGUUGUAGCUUUUAAGCUAUAGCUGCCCAACCUCAAUCUCAAACGCACCCUUAAUAGGUUGAUUGAAUUUGUGAGAUAUGGAUUCCACAUAUCUCAUGACCUAGUAAUUAUACAAGUGGUUCGUGAUCAAGACACAACAUUUGCUUCCGGCCUAGUGACCCAGCAAUCGCUGCACUGGUCGCCACCUAUGGUGCCGACGAUAUUGCAUGGUCCAAUUGUGGCCUUGAAUGGAAAAAGUUGAGCAAAUUAUUUGUGGACACGAUGAUAAGUAACGCAAGCCUUGAUGCUAGUUAUGGUCAAAGAAAACAAGAGGUUAAGAAUACUAUCAGAGAUAUUCAUAACAACAAAAAGGAAAAAAAAAAGGCAUUUGCAAGCCCAUUGAUAUUGGUGAAUUGUCGAUUUCAACUUUGGCAUGUGUAAUCCAGAACCUGCGCGCUGUGGUAUGGCGCUGGCACGCUUGCAUUAACGAGGGGACAAGUCUUGGGGCUGAGCUAACAUUUAAGCUCGCAGAACUCAUGGUGCUAAUGGGAACACCAAAUAUUUUUUUGACAUAUUUUGGUGCUUUCAUGGUUUAAUUCAAGGUAUAGAAAGGAGUGUUGAGAAUGUCAAAUAAAACGGCAUUGAAUGGAAGUUGUCAAAGACACGAUCCGCACCGAACGGCAACGACACGGUUGCUAAAAAUCCUUCCAUAAUAUGCAUAUCUAAUUUUUUAAAAAGUGUAACCUCUGCAUUUAUAAAUAUACUCAAUGUAUAAUGUUUUACUUAAGAAAUGAAAAACUUGUUUGUUCAAGGAGAAUAAAGAAAAUUUUUCUAUGAUUUUUUUAUGGUUUGAACAAAGAAGGUUUUAAUGAGUAUUAUAGACCUCGAUUGAAUGUUCGAAUGUAUAAUAAAAGAGAAACUGUCACAUAAAUGACAAAGAUACUUGGAAAAAAAAAAAGGGCAGCAAUAGAGAAUUAGAUUCGACUGCACAAAUAACUAGUUAAUUCAUCAAUACAUCAUUUUCUUGCUAGAAAAUGACAAUUAUGACAGCAAGCCACGAUAGUGUCAAUAUUGAAAUUGAUUUGCAAUUAUUCAGCCAAUGUGCCUUACACGUCAAGAUAAAAGUCAAGAAAAUGAAAGUUAAUAUCAAUUAAAACACUUCCUGGGCCGCAUUUAGCUCCAGUUUUUGUGGUAGGAAAACAAAGUUUUGUUUUAAAUUCACAUGGUGUGCACUUCCUAUAUAAAUCUAGAGUUGUGUCCCACGUUGAACAAUAAAGGAAAGUCACCUAAAUAUACAUGUAGGAUAAGUUACUUUAUUUAGUAAGUUUGUAUUUUCUUCUUUCUUCUAGUUUACAUAUAAAUUUGAUUAGAUAACUUAACACAUAUUUUAAUACUUGAUCAGAAGCCCUACGUACAGGUGGAUCUAGAAACUUGAUUUCUAAGAGUAAUACUAUAAUAAAAAAAUAAUGAUUCAUAGAACCAAUAUCAAAAUUUGUUUACAAGAUUACCCCCACUCAAAGGUAAUUUUCAUAGAAAUUAAUAGGAAAUUUAAUUGUUAGUGGGGUCAAAUUGCCCCCACACUCUGAAUGUAGAUCCACGCCCGACCCUGAGUCAAGUAUAUUUUGCCACAUAUACUCUGAAUGUCGGCAGGAAAAAUCUUCCACUUUAGUUUAAAAUUUUCACUUAAAAUUUAUUUACGUUAAUAAAGUUGGUAAAGGAAAUGAGUUUAAUUAAAGAAUAUUAUAGGAGAAAUUCUAUUGUUUGGCUUUUAAUAAAUUAAUUAAUAGGUUUAAAAAGAUUAAUAUACAUCAAAAUAUUAUUAGUUGGUGGUGGUUCCACAUCGGACUAAGACGUGGCACCUUACUUGUGAGAUUAAGACAAUCAGGCUUAGACUAUUUAAAUAUGUUUGAAGCUUAGAUGGCACCGCUUCAAUUUGCAUUAAUGAAUGUCAUUCUUUACCCUAAUUACUACGUAAUUGAUAACAUGCAAUUGAAAUAACUAAUAUUAGCACUUGGCUAUAAAUGAACUAAAGGCCGUGCAAUUGAAUCUUUACUUGAUCACUUCAUUCCUUUAUUUUGCUAACACAGAUUUUGAGAUAUUAAAACGAAAUAAUAAUUGAAUCUGGCUUUGUGGGUCGAUGAUGCCAGCAACAACGAGACCACAAUUAUCACUUGUUUAUUUGCUGUAUUUGACGUUGUUUCAUAUUGGUAGUAAUAACUAAUAAGGUCGUUGUAGAGUUUUUAAUCUUUUUUUUUAUAUUAAUCACGAGGUAUCCUGGGGAGGGCCCCAACUGUGGGAGGCACCUUUAAGCUCGUACCACAACCCAGACUAGAAGUCCCCGCUCGAACCGGGAGGCACAGUUUUUAAUCUUUUUUAUAUUAAAGUUAAGUCAAUUUGUUAUAAAUAAAUAAAAAAUUGGUUGAGUUUAAUUAUAUUGCUAUGUACAUUAAAUAAUUAUAAUAUUCUCGAGGGAAAAAGACACCUAGAACCUCAAGGUUUGGGGAAAUGGUCACAAAAACUCCUAAGUUUUAAAAAAGGAACACUAAAAUCUUUUUUUACCCAUAAUACCCUUUGACUAUAGUAAUUAGAAAAUUGACUUUAAAGGUUUUUAAAUAAUACAAAUUUAAUAUAAAUCAUAUAAUCUAUCUAGUACACUAAUAAUAUUAAAUUAUUUUUUAUAUUUAAAAUAAUGUUAAAAAAUUUAAAUUAUUAUAUUUAUUUUAAUAAUAUAUUUAUAAAAUUAUAAAGAUUUUAAAUAAAUCUUUGGAUUGAAUAUAUUUUACAAUUAAAAGUCUUCCUAUUAAUAAUAUUAAAAUUAAAUUUUAAGUAAUAUAUAUUCAAAAUAUUUUUAAUUUAAUUUUAUUUAUUUUAAUAUUAUGUUUCUAUCUAUUAUUAAAAAUUACUUUAAUAUAAUAAAAUAGGUCUAAUAGAUUGAAAAAUAUGAAAAUAUUUUUAAAAUUUUAAAUUAUUUUGAAAUGUAUAUAUUAUUACAUUUAUUUCAAUGUCAUAUUUCCAUUUAUUAUAAAAUUUUGGGGUUAUUUUUUUGGGAAUUUAUAGAGUCAAAGAGCAUUAUGGUUAAAAAAGAGUCUUGGUGUCCCUUAUUGAAAACUUUAGAGUUUUUGUGACCAUUUUCCUAAAUCUUGGGGGUGUUGAAGUGGCACUUAUUGUAAGAUUGAUUUUAAAAUAUGUAAAAUUAAUUUUAUUACAUUACCAUAUGCUACAUCACCUGAAACUUAAUAAAUGGAACGUAGCAUUACUCCACGUUCACCGUUAUGACCUUAUGACAUUAGAAUUAAAAUCUUUCGUACGUUUAAAUUGUUUACUUCCAAAUUAAUCUUUCGUAAAUAUUUUGUACAGAUCUUAUCGGAGUUAGCGUGUUCAUUACAGUGUUUCUUUUCUUUUAUCCUUUCUUUUGAAACGUAUUUCCUGUGGACAAGGAAAGCAAAUAAUACCCUGCCACCAGGACCUCGCGGCUUGCCUGUAAUCGGAUACCUUCCAUUUCUCGGAAUUACUGACUUACACAAGACAUUCACGGAAUUAGCUGGUCUAUAUGGCCCGAUCUUCAAACUCUGGCUUGGCAACAAAUUGUGUGUAGUGGUUAGCUCGCCUUCAACUAGUUCUAUAAGAAUAUCCCUUUUAAGGGAUUCUCUCUCUGCAAAAUUUUUUUAUCUUCUGGUGCAUAAUAAAAACUUAUGCCACUUCAUUAACCACAGAUAUCUUUUGAGGAAACGAUGUUUCGUUUUCUUUUGUUUUUUCCUUCCUAAUCCUCGCAUAUCGUGUGAAGGCUAAUAUAUCCAAGAAUCUAAAUCUCUGUAAAUCUUUUUCUAUCCAAAUCUACAUAAUAAUUUAAUCCAUGCACAAUAUCUAUAAUUAUAUCGGCUGUCGGCUGAUUUCGUGGAGGGGGCGGCAGUUCAAAUUUUUUACGUGCAUGUUGGAUGGACGUCUCUAUUAAAGGAGAGCCACCACUUGCAUGGUAAUUUUUUUAAAUAAAUAUAUACAUUUCAAAAUAUUAUUUCAUUGUUGUAUAGUUAACAUGUCACCUUAGAUGUAUUUUAGAACUUCUCCUAUUAAAGAUAAUCUCAUGCAGUGAUACUUCUCGUGAUCUAAUCAUUAGUAGAAUCUAUAAUUUCGCUACUGUAAUAAAAUCUGUCCCUACCCUAUAUGAAUGUAGAUAUUUGACGCGAUUUGUAAUUGCUUCCGACAGGAAAACAGCAAUAGUUUAAUUGAAAUUUGUGGUAUGGAUUCCACGAAUCUUAUGACAGAAUACUGACCACUCCAACCCUAUCCACAUUUACACGAUUAAAACACAAGCUUAGAUGUGACAAUGCAUUUGUCACUUUUGUUCAAAUUCAUCCUGAAACACUAUACACUAAAUAAUCGAAUAUGGCUUCGUGGGUCGAUGAUGCUAGCAGCAACGAGACUGCAAUUAUCACUUGUUUUGUUGCUGUACUUGUCGUGGUCUAUUUCGCAUGGAAUGUAAACAAAUCAAGUAAAGCAAAUGCUAAAUUGCCACCAGGAUCUCGGGGCUUGCCAGUAGUCGGAUACCUCCCAUUUCUUGGAACUACUGACUUACACAAGACAUUCACGGAGUUAGCUGGAGUUUAUGGUCCGAUCUUCAAGAUUUGGCUUGGGAAUAAAUUGUGUGUAGUGGUGAGCUCGCCUACCCUAGUUAAACAAGUGGUCCGUGAUCAAGAUAUAACAUUCUCAAACCGCGACCCACCGAUCGCUGGAACUGUGACCACCUACGGUGGCAAUGAUAUUGCACUUUCCAAUUAUGGUCCCGAAUGGAAAAAGUUGCGAAAAUUAUUUGUGAGCAAGAUGAUGAGUAAUGCAACCCUUGAUGCUUGUUAUGCUCUAAGAAAACAAGAGGUUAAAAAUACUAUCAGGGAUUUGUACAACAACAAUAAGGAUAAUAUUGGCAGUGGCAAUGGCAAGCCCAUUGACGUUGGUGAAUUGUCGAUUUCAACUUUGGUACGUGUUAUGCAGAACAUGCUGUGGGGUCAAGCAUUGGAAACAAGAGAGAAAGAGAUUACUAAUCUCGGGGCUAAUCUUGCAGAACUCAUGGUGCUACUGGGAACACCAAAUAUUUCGGAUAUUUUUCCAGUGCUUUCAUUGCUUGACAUGCAAGGUAUAGAGAGAAGAGCUAAGAAGAUUUCUCUAUGGUUUGAAAACAUUAUCAAUUCUGGUGUUGAACAGUAUAGAAACAAGUUUUCUGUUGUUAAAGGUGAAGAAGCUGCAGCAGGAAAAAAUAUUGAACGAUCAAGAAAUAAGGACUUCUUGCAGUUACUGUUGGAGCUUCAGGAAAAUGAAGAUAGUGCUUCAUCUAUUAGCAUGAACCAACUAAAGGCCGUGCUCGUGGUAUGUUAAGCAACUAGACACAAAAAGUUGUAAAAGCACAGUGAUAUAUUUGCGCGAGGCCGCGAGUGAUGUUUUGCCUCGAGAACUCUCAAUUUUAUCUUACGGUAAAAAAUGUUUUUCAACUUUUUUUAAUUAGAAUUUUAUUGCAAUUUAUUUAACAGGACAUAAUUGUGGCCGGAACCGACACCACAACUACGAUGGUGGAAUGGACAAUGGCAGAGUUGAUGCAACAUCCACAAGUAAUGAAGAAAGUUCAAGAAGAAUUAGCUCAAGUUGUGGGCAUGGACAGUUGUGUUGAAGAAUAUCACUUGCCUAAAUUAAAUUAUUUAGAUGCUGUGGUGAAAGAAACAUUUCGUUUGCAUCCUGCGUUGCCCUUAUUGGUACCUCGCACGGCAAGCGAGAACAGCAAUAUUGGUGGCUAUACCAUUCCCAACGACACUAAUUUUAUGUUGAAUGUUUGGGCUAUUCACAGGGAUCCUCAACUUUGGGAUAAUCCCUUAGAUUUUCGACCUGAGAGGUUCUUGAAUGAUGAUAUCAUAAGCAAAUUCAAUUACUCGGGUAACAAUUUUCAGUACUUGCCAUUUGGUUCUGGUAGAAGGAUGUGCGCUGGCAUUCCUCUAGCUGAGAGGAUGUUGAUGCUUGUUCUGGCUUCGUUGUUGCACUUGUUUGAGUGGAAAUUGCCCCCGGGCACAAAGCUAGACUUAGCUGAAAAGUAUGGGAUUGUCAUGCGGAAAAAAGAGCCUCUGAUUGCUAUUCCAACACCAAGGCUACCAAAUUCAGAUCUCUACCAGUAAGAUCAAAAUGGUUGUGAUGAUAUUAUUUCCCAUUGUAUUGGAAUAUUUUUGUGUGAUUUGAAGUUCAAUCAUAAUAAAAUAUUUUAAUAAAAUGUCCUCGGUUGCUAAUUUUUCAAUAGUAUACUCUAUCAUCGUUUCUAACUGUCUUUUAGAGCCAUUUGGUCUAAUUUAUUUUUGAAUUAAAAUCCAUAAAUAUUUAAAUUUUUGAAUCAUAUUAAGAAUUAUCUGGAGUGUAUGGUCUGAUCUUCAAGUUCUGGCUUGUAAACAAAUUAGAGUUCUGAUAUUUGCCCCGGGUCAAACCCCGAAAUUAAAUAAAACGGCGUCGUUUUGUUUUUUUUUUUUUUUUUUUCUUUUUUACUUCUUCCAAACGUUGCCAUUUCACUUGUCAUUUGCAAGUGACUCCAUUGAUCCUUAGUUGAAACAGAGUUACACCGUAAAUCUCUUCCUCUUCGUUUCUUCGUUUCACCAGGGAACGAGACAGAUAAAAUCCAGCCAUUCUUCGACAUAACAAGAUAUCGAUUAGAAUCCAACGACAUAACUAUAAACCAUGACAUUGCGCUUGAUUUUGCGAAAUACCGAUUAAGAACCAGUAACUUUGAAUCCAAUGACCGUUAAGAGUUUGAAAUUGGUUUCAAAUGACUAAUGAGUUAUCAGAUUUCUUUGCGUCUACAUUUUCCUUGAAGGUUUCUCAGCAGCCAAACAAAUACAAAGCAAAUUGCAGAAGAAACACAUUUUGUUCCAAUGAAAAAUGUACGGAAACAUUUUAAAUAUGGAAAAUUACCUCAAAAUGAAGGCUCGCAAGAGAUUCGAGCAACAAAUUAGAUCAAAGGAACCGGCGCUGAGCAAGAAAGUGAGCUCAAAGAUUCCGAAACACAAACGUAAAUUCACAAAAAUGCAAAUCUAUGAUGAACGCCAAGAUCAAAAUUUUCGAAGAAAGGGAGCUGAAAAAAUAAAUGAAACGUCAAACUAGAUGACAAUGGAUUUGCUUCUUCAAAGGAGACAAUGAAAUUGUUACUAGAGACAGCUAGAGAAAUAGAGAGAGAGAGAGAGAGAGCUUGAAUUGGCUGUACCCCCACCAGAAAGUGGGUAGUGCCUUUUCCACUUGGACUUGAUAUGCGAAUCUGAAAAAAUCUGAACGAAGGACUGACUCAUCCCAGCUCGAAAGCAAACCAAGCUAGGACUGACUGAAAACGUUGCCGUUUGGAGAAGUUAAAAAAAAAAACUAAACAAAACGACGCCGUUUUGUUUAGUUUCGGGGUUUGACCCGGAAUUUGACCCGGGGCAAACAUCAUUUUCCAACAAAUUAUGCAUGGUCGUGUACACGCUUUCCCUAAUUAAGCAUGAGGUUCGUGAUCAAGGCACAACAUUCACUCCCUGCGACCCAACAAUCGCUACAUUGUUUGCCACCUAUAGUGCCAACGAUUUUGCACGGUCCAAUUAUGGUCCCCAAUCGAAAACGUUGCGCAAAUGUUUUCUGGGCAAGAUGAUAAGUAACGCAAGCCUUGAUGCUUGUUAUGGUCUAAGAAAACAAGAGGUUAAUAUAUAUAUAUAUAUAUAUAUAUAUAUAUAUAUAUAUAUAUAUAAAUUGGCAUUGUCAACUUUUGUAUGUUUUAUUCAGAACCCGCUGUGGGUUGACGCUAGCAUGCUUGCGUUAGGAGACGAGGGGACCAAUCUUGGGGCUGAGCUAAAAUAUAAGCUUGUAGAGAUCAUCUUGCUAAUGGUAAUGUUUUCCGAUGCUGGUUUAAUUCAUGGUAUAAAAAGGAGAACAAAAAAGAUUUUUCUAUGCUUUGAAAAUAUUAUAAUUUUUAUUUUAUAAUUUUUAAUAAAAUCUCUCAUUGAUAGCCAAACAAUUAAAAUUUUUGUAAAGCUUUUGUGGACUUUUGAUCGCGUAUGGUGCCAAUGUAUUGCGUGGUCCUAUUAUGGUUCCAAAUGGAGAAAGUUGCACAAGUUUUUUGAGUACCAGAAGAUCAGUAAUGUAAGCCUUGAUGGUUGUUAUGGUCUAAGAAAACAAGAGGCUAAAAAUUCUAUCUGGGAUUUUUAUAACAACAACAAAAUUGGCAAGCCCAUUGACAUUGGUGAAUUGUCAGUUUCAACCUUGGUAAGUGCGAUUCAGAACAUGCUGUGGGGUGAAACGCUUGAAAUAACAAAGAAAUGGAUUUACUAAUAUUGGGGCUGGGCUAAGAUUUAAGCUUGCAGAACUCACGGUGCUAGAGGGAACACCGAAUAUUUUGGAUAUCUUUCCAGUGCUUUCAUGGUUUAAUAUACAAGGUUUUCAGAGAAUAGCAAAGAAGAUUUCUCUAUGGUUUUAAAAUAUUAUCAAUUCUACUGCUGAACGCUAUAGAAACAACGUCUCUAUUGUCAAAAGUGAAGAAGCAGCAGCAGCAGGGAACAAUAUUGAAGGAAGGAAUAAGGACUUGGUGCAGUUACGCUUGGAGCUUCAAGGUAAAGAAGACAAUGCUUCAUCAAUUAGCAGGACGCAAUUUAAGAGCUUGCUCGUGGUAUGUUGCGCAACUAGCCACAGACAGUUACAGAAACUGAGUUUGGCAGAUUACGACCGUUUCUGGUGAUUACAUAAUUAUUUGUGGCUGUUUUUUUUUUUUAAUUGUAAUUUUCUUAACAGGAUAUAAUUUAGGGUGGAACCAACACCACAACUAUAAUGGUGGAAUGGACAAUGGCAUAAUUGAUACAGCAUCCACAAGUAAUAGAGAAUGUACAGGUAGAACUAAAUCGGGCCGUGGCCAUCGACAGCCAUGUUGAAGAAUUUCACCUAGCUAAGUUAAAAUAUUUAGAUGCUGUGGUGAAAGAAACAUUCUGCACUGUAAUAUAAUACAUGAAUCAUAUGUCCUCUAUUGUUUUUUUAUUUUUCUCUUUUUUUCAAUAGCUUAAUCUAUCAUUAAAAUCUUCUGAAAUUCUAAAUUAAUAUACAUUCAACCUAGAGUUCAAGCCAAAGUUUUAUUGAGCAUUAAAAAAAAAAAAAAUUCUACGACUCAAAAUUUUGUGGAGUAUAAAUUAAAAAUUAUGCGCCUACUAAGAGACAAAAAAUAAAUGAUACACAUUAACCAAUCAAAGGCGAACAAGAGAUUAUUAACAAUAACCUAAUAAUAAAAUUAUAAUGAAUAAAAAAGAAAUGGUACCUAGAAACACAUCACAGCCAUUUAAGCAAUCACUUACCCACAAAAUCCAAACAUAUAAACUAUGUGGGGGGGGGGGGGGGGGGGGGGGGUGUCAUGAUACCUUUGGGUUUCAUGAUAAUCAAAAUUGCAAUACCAUUAAAGACUCAAAAAUAAAAAAAAUCAUAGCCAAUAAAAGAGAAAAAAUAACCCACAAAAAAUCAUCAAGAAAAUAAAUUUGAGACUAAGAGAAGAUAUUAAUUAAACCCUGGGUUGCCUUGGAACCACGGCUUUGGCUUCCAUUUUUCAAUUCUUGGCGACAAGUCAUUUCUUGUUUGUUUACAAAGAUGACGGCUGAUUAAUGAAGCUCUAUUAACAAUGAAUAAAUAAAAAAACUGGCGCCUUGAAAAGACUAACGGUCAUAUUUUUCAACUCCGAAUUAGUGCCGUUUGAUGAGUCCUUGCCAAAACAAUCACUAGGCAAAUAACAAUCAUUUUUCAACCAGCAAAACUCAUUCAUUGUAUUUCACCUUAGUCAAGAUUUAAAAAUUGUUUCAAAAUAAACCUAGUGGUUAGAACCCAAGCGUCACAAUUGUGAGGUCAUGGGUUUGAGCCCCCACAACGUAUUGUGGGGGUUAAUUUUCUUCUUCAAUUUGAGUGAAAACAGUUCUCUCCCUUUCGAAAUGUGGGUGGAGUGGACGUCCCUCAAAUAUUAGAGAGGGUUCAAAUUUGGAUUGUACUAUAUAAGAUUUAUAAAUUAGUCCCAGUAAUUAUCUGAUUGUAAAUAUCAAUAUACUAAUCUAAUUAAAUAUGAGUUGUAAUAUGAGCGUUAGUCUCAUGUAAUUAAAAAAAAAAUGUUUCAAAAUAGGAUUCUUAAAAGGUUGGGGAAAUGGCCAUCAAUAUCCCCAACUUUCCAAAAAGAGACACCAAGACCCAUUUUGACCAUAAUACCCUUUACUUCUAUUAUCCCCAAAAAAUUGACUCUAAUGUUUUAUAAUAAAUAAAAAUAUAACAUUAAAAUAAAUGUAAUAGUAUAUACAUUUUAAAAUAGUUUCAAUAUCUAAAAACCAUUUUAAUAUUUUAAAUCCUAUUAUAUAUAUAUUAAAGUAAAUUUUAUAAUAAAUAGAAUCAUAAUAUUGAAAUAAAUGCAUUAAAAUUUAAAUUAUUUUUAAUAUUAUGUAAAAUAAUAAUUUUAUCAUUAUAAGUAUAUGAGAAUUUUUUUAAUUGUAGAAUGUAUUUAAUGCAAAUAUUUAUUUAAAAUCUCUACAAUAAAUAAAAAUAUACUAUUAAAACAAAUCUCUACAAUAUAUACAUACAUACAUAUACAUUGGCCUGGUAUUUUAUUUUUCAUUUUUUAAACUUAUUAAAUCCUCUAACUAUCAUUUGAUUAUUUUUUUCAAUGAUGAAGAGGCCAUUGCCGGAUAAAUUAUUAAAAUCAACUAGUUCUACAAGAAUGUCCCUUUUUAAAGGAAGAUGAUUCUCUCUCUCGAAAUUUUUUAUCUUGUGCUACAAACUAAAAACUUAUGCCAUUUCAUUAACCACAGAGAUCUUUGAGGAAAUGAUGCUUCGCCCCCCCCCCCCCCCCCCCCCCCCCCCCCCCCCCCCCGCGGCGCCAAAAAGUGUCCUUCCAUAUUUUGUGAAGGCUAAUACAUCGAUGAAUCUAGAUUUCUUUAAAUUUUUUGUUUUACUCAAUUCGAGAUAAUAAAUAGUUUAUCUUUAUUAAAUCUUUACUUUAACAAUGAUAGAUAUUCAAUCCAUGCAAAUAUCUAUCAUUGUAUGAGCUGAUUGCGUGGAGGGAGCGGUAAUUGAAAUCUAAUUGAAAACAGCAGAAGGCUGUUCUUGACAGAUCUCAAAUAUAUUACGGACACGUUGGGAGACAUCUCUAUCAUAGAUAUCCCCAUGCAGUGAUAUUUGUCGUGAUCUAAUUUUUAGUAAAUCUGUAAGAGAGAUUGUAACAUCUUUCAAGUUUUUUGGUUUGAUAUUCUAGACGAAAACGGUUUGUCGUUUCUUGAGCAAACGGCUAACCGUUUAAGUCCAGAGAGCAUGUUUGUUGUUCUGGAUAAAACGGCUCACCGUUGUUGCGAAAACGGCUAACCGUUUAACUCAAGAGAGCAUGUUUUAUGUUCUAGAGAAAACGGCUCACCGUUAUUGAGAAAACGGCUAACCGUUUAUUUACAGAGAGCAACGUAUUUGAUAUUCUGGAAUAAAAUGGCUCACCAUUUAUUGAGAAAACGGCUAACUGUUUAUUUCCAGAAAGGCGUCAAUUAGAAAAACGGUUAGCAAGAAUGAAAAUUUCAAUUGACAAUCGAUGCAAAUUCAAACCAAAAGAGUGUCUUCGAAAAAGUACCAUUUCUAAUGGUUGUAUUCUUUCAAAUAAACAUCUUCUUCAUUAAAGAAAUACACACAAUUAGAUUGAUAAUCAGAUUUUGACAGGUUUCUUAUAUGUUCUGGAAAUACAAUCUUAUUUGCUAGAGAUUGUAUUCAGGAUUUGUUAUAUCUUGGGGGUAAUUUGCCAUUAAAACUAUAUAGCAAACCAAGAUUGGUGAGGGCAAAUAAAACCUUAAAGGAAAGUAUGCAAACACGUCUCAAAUCCUAUGAAACUUUCUUUGUUCUUUGCCUCCAUAUUCUUAUUAUUCACUAACAAAAUCCCCAUGCAGUGAUAUUUGUCGUGAUCUAAUUAUUAGAAAAAUCUAUGAUUUCGCUACUGUAAUAAAAUUUGUCACUACUCUACAUUAAUCUAAAUGUCUGAUGAGAUUUGUAAUUGCUUCCGACGGGAAAACAGUUAAUAGGUUGAUUGAAUGUAUGUGGUAAAGAUUCCACGUAUCUCACGACAGAAUGCUGACCACUGGAACCCUAUCUACUUUUACGCGAUUAAUUCACGAGCUUAGGCACGACAAUUGCAAUACAAAUUAUCCCUUCAUCAUAUAUUUCGUUAAAAUUCAUUCUGAAGCACUAAAACUAAACAAUCGAAUAUGGCUUUGAGGGUCGAUGAUGCCAGCAGCAAUGAGAGUGCAAUUAUCACUUGUUUAGUUUCUGUGCUUGCCGUGGCUUAUUUAGCAUGGAAUGUGAAAAAAUCAAGGAAAGCAAAUGCUAAACUGCCACCAGGACCUCGCGGCUUGCCUGUAGUCGGAUACCUCCCAUUUCUCGGGACUACUGACUUGCACAAGAAAUUCACGGAAUUUAUUUUACUAUUAUAUUUAUAUUCAAAAUAAUUUUAAUUAGCUUUUAAAAUGAAUGAUUUUAGGAAAUUAUAAAUAAAGGUAACUAAGAAUUCUCUUAAUGUAAUAUAUUAUUAAUUAGUUUAAAAAUACAAAUUUAUUAAUUAGAGAAAUUAUUAGUGAAUUUAAAUUAAUGAUCUUAAUGAUUUGUUUGUACGAUUGCCCCCAAUCAAAGGUAAUUUUCCUAAAAAUUAUUAGGAAAUUAGAGAAAUUUAAUUUUUUUAGUGGGUUCAAUUGCCCACACACCCCGACUGAAGCAUUUUUUACAAUAUGUACUCCGUUUGUCGGCAGGAAAAUAAAGGUCUUGACACAUGAUCACUUCACUCCUUUAUUUACUUUGCUAACGCAGAUUUUGAGGUAUUAAAACAAAUAAUAAUUGAAUAUGACUUUGUGGGUCGACGACGCCAGCAACGAGGAGACCGCCAAUUAUCACAUUUUAAGUUUGCUGUAAUUGCCGUUGUUUUAUAUUAGUAGAAUAUUAGUGAUAAGAUAAUUGUAGAGUUUUCAUUUUUUUAAUAUUAAAAUCAAGUCAAUUUAUUAUAAUAAAUUUAGUUGAAUUUAAUCGUAUUACCACAUAAAUUGAAUAAUAAUAGAAUUCUCGACAAUAUUUCAAUAUUUUAAUCUCAAGCAUUGGAGUGGCAUUUAUUUGUUAUACGGUCGAUUUUAGAAUUUAUAAAAUUAUUCGUUGCUGAAUUGCACCAUAUGCUGCAUAACCUGAAACUUAAUAAACGGAACGUAGCGUUGGCACCGUUACUCAACAUUCACUGUUACGACUUUGUGACAUUAGAAUUAAAAUCUUUUCCACAUUUAAUUUGUUUACUUCCAACUUAAUAUUUAACAAAAUGUAUGUUAGCAUUGUAUGCCAUAUCAUCUGUAAUUUUGUCAGGAUCGAUCAUUCUAAUUUUUAAGCAGAACUUUUUGUCAAUGGACAAACACCUCAUACAGCUUGUCAGAGGCAUUAGUAUGAUGUAAAAUUGUAAUGGUAUAUCUUGAAUUAUUUUAGAAUAGUGAAUAACUAUUUGGAGCAAUAAAAACAAAUAAGACAGAUGAGAAAAUGGCUAAAAUUAUAUAAGUGACCCAAAAUUUUUUGCUAUUUCCAAGAAAUCCCCAAUCUGAAUGGACCAGAGGGAGGCAAGUUAGAAAUACAUUUCCUUCAUAGACAAUAACAACGAUGAGUGGAUGACAUCAAACCACGUUGGUAUCAAUAUUGAAAUAAAGGUGCAAUUAUUCAGCCAAUGAGCCUUAGUACACAUCAAGAUAUAUAAAAGUCAAGAAAAUGAAAAUUUAUCCCAAUUAAAACUCUUUCUGGCUGCAUUUAGCUGUUUCUGUUUAGGGAUGGCAAUUUAAUCCGGACCCAGCCCGACCCGGAUGAAUCCAGAAAAUUCGGGGUGGAUUCAACCCGUACCGGAGUGAAUAAAAUCUGAUAUUCAAAUUCAAUAUUUUCAACCCGGACGUUUCCGAGUCCGGAUCCGGAUUUGGGUAAACCCGCAUAUCCGGAACCCGGAUCCGGAUAACUAUUUUAAUAUUAAUUUUUAAAUCAUUUUAAAAUAAAAAAAAAUUAGAAAAAAUCAGCCCUAAUGCCCUUCCACAGCCACGGCAGCCAAACCAAACCCAGACAUUUCCUCUCUCUCUCUUUAGCCCUUCUUUUCAACAAAUCAUCAUCGUUGCUCAUCAUCGUUUCGUCGUGUUCAUCUUCAUCUUCAUCAUCAGCUGCCGUUUGUCCAGCUAUGUCACUAGUUUUGGCCGCCGUUUCCGUUUGUGCACCUUCGCAAAUCGGGAUCUCGAUUUGGCCGCCAACACUUCUACCCCCUGGUGUUUUGCUUUGUCCUCGACAACUUCUUUGUUGAUAAAUUGACGGGCACUUAUGAAUGCAUUUGUCUCUGUUUCUUCAUUUACACCUUCCCAGUUGUUUGUUCAUUUGCUUUUUGGAAGGAAAAAAAAAAAAAAUCAGCCACCAUUUAUCCUUCCCCUUUUCUUGACCUAACCCCACAAAGCCCAAUUUGUCAUCAUCAUUCAUUGGCAAAUUUGUUAUCAUCAUGGUUGAGACAUCAUGAUUAUCUUUGAUAAUUGAAUUUGUGUAAUAUGUUACCUUGGAUUUUAUUUCUAAGUAUUUGAUUUUGAAUUAUUUUCCAUUAUUGGUGUUAAUAGAUAGAAGAUUAGAAAGGAAUUCUUCACUGAAUAAAGAGAUGGGAAAUUGCAUCUUUUAGCAAUCAUCCGGGUUAUAAACCCGGAAUCCGGAAACCAGGAUUUUUCCGGGUUUAACCCAGUCCGGACCCGAAUGAAAAAUAUCCGGGUUUACAUCCGGGUCUGGUAUUAAAAUUUAUCGUCCGGAUCCGGAACAGGGAAGACAAAACCCGGACCCGAACCCACAUUUUGCCAUCCCUAUUUCCAUUUGAAGUUAACAACAACGUUUCUUUCGUUUUGUGGGCGACUUGACUGAGCCAGCUGGAUUCUAGUGCUAGUAUGUGAAAAUAGAAGGCUAAUGAUUUCACGUUCACUAGCCCACCUCCCCUCCUCUCGUUUCCUCUGAAUCAAUUUUCACGUGUGGUACCGAUUGAAAAUAUCUCUGACAUUUCGUGGACAUCUCUAUUGAAAAUAUCUCAGACAUUUCACUCAGGCAAACUUAUUAAUAUAAAAAAUCUAUGAUUUUUUCGUCUUAUACUGUAGAAAAAUUUGUCUAUACAUUAAUCUAGAUGUUUGAGGUGGUUUAUACAUCUGUGGUAUAGAUUUAUAGGUUGAUUGAUACGUCUGUGGUAUAGAUUUUAUGUAUUUCAUUAUCAAAUGCUGGCCUUUGGGACCCUAUCUACAUCUAUUUAUAAAACUAACGGGUGCCAGUUAUGCCAUUACAAAUUAUCCCCUCUUCAUACAUUUCCUUAAAAUUCUUCUGAAACACCAAAACUAAAUAAUCGAAUAUGGCUUUGCGGGUCGAUGAUGCCAGCAACAAUGAGGCUGCAAUUAUCACUUGUUUAGUUUCUAUGCUUGCCGUGGUUUAUUUCGUAUGGAAUGUGAACAAAUCAAGGAAAGCAAAUGCUAAACUGCCACCAGGACCUCGCGGUUUGCCUGUAGUCGGAUACCUCCCAUUUCUCGGAACUACUGACUUGCACAAGAAAUUCACGGAAUUAUCCGGAGUUUAUGGUCCGAUCUUCAAGCUCUGGCUCGGAAAUAAAUUAAGUGUCGUGGUGAGCUCACCUUCCCUAGUUAAACAAGUGGUUCGUGAUCAAGAUACAACAUUCGCAGACCGUGACCCGCCGAUCUCAGGACUAGUGACCUCCUUUGGUGGCAAUGAUAUUACAUGGUCCAAUUACGGUCCCGAAUGGAGAAAGUUGCGCAAAUUUUUUGUGGGCAAGAUGAUGAGUAACGCAAGCCUUGAUGCUUGUUAUGCUUUAAGAAAACAUGAGGUUAAAAAUACUAUCAGGGAUUUGUAUAACAACGGCAACAAAAUUGGUAAGCCCAUUGACAUUGGUGAAUUGUCGAUUUCAACAUUGGUAUGUGCUAUGCAGAACAUGCUGUGGGGUGAAGCGCUUGAAUUAAAAGAGAAAGGGACAACUAAUCUUGGGGUUGAGCUAAAAUUUAAGUUUGCAGAACUCAUGGUGCUACUGGGAACACCGAAUAUUUCGGAUAUCUUUCCAAUGCUUUCUUGGCUCGACAUACAAGGUAUAGAGAGGAGAGCAAAGAAGAUUUCACUCUGGUUUGAAAAAAUUAUAAAUUCUACUGUUGAAAAGUAUAGAAGCAAGGACUUUAAUGUUGAAGGUAAAGAAAGAGCAGGGGAAAAUUUUGAAGGAUCAAGGAACAAGAACUUCUUGCAGUUACUAUUGGAGCUUCAAGAAAAUGAAGACGGUUCUUCCUCAAUUAGCAUGAACCAAUUUAAGGCCGUACUCGUGGUAUGUUAAGAAACUAGCCGCAAACAGUUAUACAAGCACAGCUGUAUAUUUUGCAUGAGUGAUAUUUUCAACCUUUUUUUUUUAUAAUUAGAAUUUUAUUGUAACCUUUUGGACAGGAUAUAAUUACGGCUGGAACCGACACCACAACUACGAUGGUGGAAUGGACAAUGGCAGAGUUGAUGCAGCAUCCACAAAUAAUGAAGAAAGUUCAGGAAGAAUUAGCUCAAGUUGUGGGCAUGGACAGUUGUGUUGAAGAAUUUCAUUUGCCUAAAUUGAAAUAUUUAGAUGCUGUGGUGAAAGAAUCGUCUCGUCUGCAUCCUGCAGUGCCUUUAUUACUACCACGCAGAGCAAGCGAGAGUGGCAGCAUUGGUGGCUAUAACAUUCCCAAAGAUACAACUAUUAUGUUGAAUGUUUGGGCAAUCCACAGGGACCCUAAACUUUGGGAUAAUCCCUUAGAAUUUCGACCCGAGAGGUUUCUAGAUGAUGGUAUCGCGAGUAAGUUCGAUUACUCAGGUAACAAUUUUCAGUACUUGCCAUUUGGUUCUGGUAGAAGGAUGUGUGCUGGGAUUCCUCUAGCUGAGAGGAUGCUGAUGUUUGUUUUGGCUUCGUUAUUGCACUCAUUUGAGUGGGAAUUGCCAGCUGGCACAAAGCUAAACUUAUCUGAAAAAUUUGGGAUUGUCAUUAAGAAAAAAGAGCCUUUAGUUGCUAUUCCAACACCAAGACUAUCCAAUUCAGAGCUCUACCAUUAAGACAGAAUGGUUGUGAUGAUUUUGUUAAUUUCCGAAGAUUUGUAUGUUAUGUCAAGUUCAAUCGUAAUAAAAUAUUUCAAAUAAGAGUCCUCCGUUGCUUUUUUUUUUUUUUUCAACCGCAUAAUCUGUCGUCAUGCUUGUAUUUGGGGCUACUUUGGAAUAAUUAUGUUUGAAUUACAAUAUAUAAAUAUUACAUUUUAAAAUUUUAUGAGAUUCUAAAUUUAUACACGUUCAAUAACCCACUUCAUAUAUGUUUAACACAAUUUAUAUCAUACAUUGUAUACCCAUUUGUCAUAAAUUACGCUAUUUUAUAUCUCUAAAUAAUAUUACAUAUUGAUAUUAUAAAAUGUUGUUAACUCACGUGUGUAUAUAUAUAUAGCAAGUCACGUGCAUAUAUUAUUGGUUGUUAUAUGUUUGCUAGUUUGAUAGGAUUUCCUUUCCUUGUGAACUAGGGUAAUUCUUAUGUACAUAUAAAUAUUGAUCAAUAAGAGUGCAGAUGAUGACUGCAGUUUUGCAUCGUAGAAAUUCUUCGUAAAAUAUAUAUGUUUAUCAAAAGGCUAUACCAUUCAAUAUAUAUUGGAAAGAGAACAAAGAAGAUCUUCUUAUGGUUUGAAAAUAUUAUGAAUUCUGCUGUUGAACAGUAUGGAAACAAGGUCUGUUGUUAAAGGUGAAGAAGUCACAGGGAACAAUAUUGAAGGAAGAAAUUUCACGUUUAGUUGCUGAAUUUGCCGCUGUAUUCUAUCGGUAGUAAAAAGAUUAGAGUUUUUAUUUUUCUCUAUUAAUGUUAAGUCAAUUUUCUAUAACAAAUUCGGUUGAGUUUAAUUGUGUUACAAUAUAAAUUGAAUGAUAGUAGAAUUUUCAACGAAUAAUUCAAUAUUUCUAUCUCGAUUGUUGAAGUGCCAUUUAUUUGUUAUACGAUCGAUUUUAAAAUUUAUAAAAUUAUUUGUUACUAAAUUGCAUCAUAUGCUAAAUCACCUGAAACCUAAUUUCAUAACUAACCCUUUAUUUUUAGUUCUCAAGAAAUCUUGUAAGAACAAAAUUCUUUUGUAACAAAACGUUUACAACAAAUUAAUUUGUAACUCAUUCCUGUGCGAGAAUCACUCUCAAUUUCCUUCAAUUGCUGUUUAACAAUCAUCUGCUUAUCAAAAUUCAAGCAUAAUCUUUUUUUUUAAUUUCUUCAUCAUUCUUUUGAAAAAAAAAAUCAGGAUAUGCUGUUAAAUUUUGAAAUAAAUUAUCUCAAAAUAAUUACUAACCAGAAAAAACAAAGGGGUUUAACUAGGUUAUGCAUACCUUUGAAAAUUAUAUGUUGAUCGAUAAGAAUGAUGAUCACGAUUGACGAGUUUAAUUAAAAUAUAUAAGAUUUUAAAAUUAAUCAGGGUUAAAUUGUGAAUUUUAGAAAGAGAGGUUUUGUGAGAAUGUUGAAAGGGUGUUAAUAGUUCCACUCUUUUUAAAAACAACCAUAGUCAUCAUUUUUCCAUGGUUGUUUUUAAAAAGAGUAUUUCUUCUUCCCAUCUCCAUCUUAUUUAGAAAUUUCCCAGAGCCUUUGUUUCCCACCUUUCAUUUUUCUUCUUUCUAAUUUAAUAAUCCACCCUUCUUGUAUUCAAACUAAAAAAUUAAAAUCUGAAAAUUUAAAACCCAAUAUUAUAGUAUUAUAAAAAUAAUUACUCACAUUUUAUCAAACACCUCCAUUCUUCCAAGGCCUUGUUUUAGUAGUAGGCUUUUAUUAUCUCAAUAAAAUUGAAAAAAAAAAUCUCAAUAAUAUUGGAAAAAAACCCUACCCAUAUUUGUAACUUUAAUUUAUUAUUCUCCAUAGACCUACUUUUUAGUUUUGAAUUUUGUUGGAGCCAUAUAUAAACAGAAUAUGUUGAAAUCAGCACCCAAAAAAAAAAAAACUAAUUAUAUAAUUUAUGUUCCCAAGGACAUGGCUGAGUGAUUUUCAAGAAGUUUUGUUUGGCUGGCCACUUAGGUUUAAAUCUUGGUGGAGAUUAAGGGUUAAGAAAUAAAUUUAGACUUUGCACACCCCUUUAACUUUUAAAAAGAAAUGAAAAAAUUAAUUAAUUAAUCUUUAUUUUAUUUAUUAAAUGUCAUAAUCCUAUGCGUAUUUUAUUUGUUAUCUUUCUAUUUAAAAGACGAGGGCAGAUAAAACUGAAAUAAAUUUUUAGCCCUAUCUCCAUAUUUCAAGUUCCAUAGUUAGGUGACCAGCUAAAAAAAAUUAAUUGAAAGCUACUCCAUCAAAUUAAAAAAAUUUAUUUAUUUAAUUUGUGGAGAUGUAGAAAAUCAAACCCCAUACCUUUUCGCAUACACUGAACAUAUUUUAAUACAUGACUAUCAUCCUUUAUCCUAAAUACUACUAUAACUAAUAACAUACAAUUGAAAUAAUUAAUGUUAACACUUGGCUAUAAAUAAAGGUUUUGUGCUUGAAUCUUCACGCAUGACCUUCAUUCCUUUAUUGACUUUGCUAACACAGAUUUUGAGGCAUUAAAACUAAAUAAUAAUUGACUUUGUGGGCCGAGGAUGCCAGCAACAAGGAGACCACAAUUAUCACUUAAGUUACUCUAAUUGCCGUUGUCUUAUAUUCAUAGAAUAUUAGUAAUAAGAUUAUUGCAGAAUUUUUUUAAUAUUAAAAUUAAGUCAAUUUGUUAUAACAAAUUUAGUUGAGUUUAAUCGUGUUACUACAUAAAUUGAAUAAUAAUAGAAUUCUCGACAAAUAUUUCAAUAUUUUUAUCCCAAGCGUUGGAGUGGCAUUUAUUUGUUAUACGAUCGAUUUUAGAACUUAUAAAAUUAUUCGUUACUGAAUUGCACCAUAUGCUGCAUGACCUGAAACUUAAUAAACGGAAUGUAGCGUUGGCACCGUUACUCAACAUACUGUUACGACUUUGUGACAUUAGAAUUAAAAUCUUUUGCACAUUUAAUUUGUUUACUUCAAAAUUAAUAUUUAACAAAAUAUUUUUUUCACAUUAUCAAUGGACAAAACUCCAACGAAAAUAACUACACAAGAAAAAUGUAUGCUAGUAUUGUGUGCCAUAUCAUCUGUAAUUUUGUCAGGAUCGAACACUCUAAUUUUUAAGCAGAACUUUUUAUCAAUGGACAAACACCUCACACAGCUUGUCAGAGGCAUUAUUAUGAUAGAAAACUGUAAUGGUAUAUCUUGAAUUAUUGGUAGAAUAGUUCUUUGGAGCAAUAAAAAUAGAUAAGACAGAUGAGAAAAUUGUCAAUACCCCACCGCAAAAGCAAAAGAAAAAAAGGAAAGGAGACAAAAGAGGAAGAAGAAAAAAAGGAAAGGAGACAAAAGAGGAAGAAGAAAAAGAAAAAAGAACGAAGAAAAAAAUGGUGCCGCGCUGUAUUGGGAAGAAGAAAAAAAUUAAUAAAAUAAUAAUAAAUAAUAAAUAAUAAAUAAUAAAAUAAUAGUGCACAACAAUCAUUUGAUUGCUAUAAAUAAAGGGGCAUUUUCCUCAUUUUAUUCAUCGAAUUCUUCAGUUCCUUUCAAGCGAUUUAAGAGUCUAGUGAUUUGAGAGUUUGGGAGUAUUGUGAUUUUGAGUACUAAGUUAAAAUACUAUAAUACUUGUAACUCAUUUUCACUAGUAAAAUAUUUUUCUUCUGUCUUCGCCCGUAGACGUAGGCUAAAAGCUGAACCACGUAAUUUCUGGUGUCCCUAUGUGAUUAUGUGUCUCAUUAUUUCUCAAUUUUACUUUAGUUACGUGUCUGCUACACCCUUCAAUUUACUAACAAAAAUGGCCAAAAUUAUAUAAGUGACCCAAAUUUUUUUGCUAUUUCCAAGAAAUCCCCAAUCGGAAUAGACCAAACUAGAGGGAGGCAAGUUAGAAAUACGUUUCCUUCAUAAACAAUAACAGCGAUGAGUCGAUGACAUCGAGCCACGUCGGUAUCAAUAUUGAAUUAAAGGUGCAAUUAUUCAGCCAAUGAGCCUUACACAUCAAGAUAAAAGUCAAGAAAAUGAAAAAUUUAUCCUAAUUAAAACACUUUCUGGCUGCAUUUAGCUGUUUCUAUUUGAAGUUAAAAACAACAUUUCUUUCGUUUUGUGGGCAACUCGACUGAGUUCGCUGGCUUCUAGUGCUAGUAUGUGAAAAUAGAAGGCUAAUGAUUUAUUUGUUAUCUUUUGACAAAAAAUGUUAAAGAUAUAAUAGAUUUUCCAUGAUACAAAUGAAAAAUUAUAUCAACAUAACUUCCAAGCUACAGCAGCUAGUGUUUACCAAACACUUUGCUGUAGCUUUUAAGCUACAGCUGCCCAACCUCAAUAGGUUGAUUGAAUUUGUGGGAUAUAGAUUCCACAUAUCUCAUGACCUAUUAAUUAUACAAGUGGUUCUUGAUCAAGAACAACAUUUGCUUCCGACCCAGUAACCCAGCAACUGCUGCACUGGUCGCCACCUAUGGUGCCGACGAUAUUGCAUGGUCCAAUUAUGGCCUUGAAUGGAAAAAGUUGAGCAAAUUAUUUGUGGGCACGAUGAUAAGUAACGCAAGCCUUGAUGCUAGUUAUGGUCGAAGAAAACAAGAGGUUAAGAAUACUAUCAGAGAUAUGCAUAACAACAAAAAGGAAAAAAAAAAAAAAAGGCAUUGGCAAGUCAAUUGAUAUUGCUGAAUUGUCGAUUUCAACUUUGGCAUGUGUAAUUCAGACAUUGCGCGUUGUGGUAUGGCGCUGGCACGCUUGCAUUGCCGAGAGGACAAAUCUUGGGGCUGGGCUAAAAUUUAGGCUUGUAGAACUCAUGGUGCUAAUGGGAACGCCAAAUUUUUUUAACAUAUUUCGGUGCUUUCAUGGUUUAAUUCAAGGUAUAGAAAGGAGUGUUGAGAAUGUCAAAUAAAACGACAUUGAAUGGAAGUUGUCAAAGACAUGAUCCGCACUGAACGGCAAUGACACGGUUGGUAAAGAUUUUUUCAUAAUAUGCGUAUCUAAUUUUUGAAAAAUUGUAACCUCUGCUUCUAUAAAUAUGCUCAAUGUAUAAUGUUUUACUUAAGAAAUGAAAAACUUAAUUCUUUAUGGUAUCAGAGCGAGGCUCGUUGCUCUGUUUGUAACAAAAACAAAGAAAACUAAAUUCUUCCCACAACUAUUUUUCCACCUUUUUUUCUUCCUUAAAAGCAUUCCUAGCAUUACAGAAACCCAUGCCAAUAAAAGAACAAGCCACACAUAUGUAAAAACUUUAGUUUACAAAUCUAUCAACAUCCCCAUAAAUUUUCCCAAAAAGUGAUCUUCAAAAACCAAAAAUACCAUCAAUUUUCGCAUCUUCUAGUAAACAAACUAUAAAAGUUUCGCACUCAAACAGAGCCACACGCGCCUCCACGCGCUUCCCGGAAUCACGGCCAACCACCACGCGCCUCUGUCACCACCAACUCACCCUCAUGCGCUCCAGAUGUUGCAGAAGACGCAAAACGACGUGUCGUUUUCUUCUCUAAAAGUGCAGCAACGUGGAAAUGACUUUUUGUUUUUGCCUUAAAUUGUUUUUCCUCGUUUGAAGCUAUACAACAUUUUUCUUUCUAAACCUGUUUUUUACAAUAAAAAAAGAAAAAAAUGGAGAAAACUCCAACUGAAUCUACUCAUGUUGUCAUUCAAUCUGUUCAACCUGAUGGAGUAUUUAAUGCCGAAAUUAUCCUUACUAAGACAAACUACGAUAUUUGAUCUCAAAUAAUGGAGAUGCAUCUCGCAGAAAGAAAAAAACUCCCAUAUAUUCGUAGCAGCAUAAAUCCAUCUGACAAAUUUUCAAAGAAAUAUGAGAAAUGGUAUAGUGAGAACCAAAAAGUAAAAAGAUGGUUACUCAUAACCAUGUGUCCUGAGAUCAUGAAGCGAUAGUUACAAAUUCCUACAGCCUACGAAAUUUAGAAUGCAUUAUCAAAAGCCUUUUAUAAUGGAAGCGAUGAAAUACAAGUUUUCACUCUAAAUCAGAAGGCGUUCUCUACGAAGCAAAAUGGACAACCACUCUCUAAAUUCUACGGAGAAUUGAUCAAAAUGUUUCAAGAACUUAAUCACCGAGAUAAAGUGGUCAUGAAGGAUCCAGAAGAUGUUAUAAUAUAUAGGAAGUUUGUUGGAAGAUUGAGAGUGCACAUUUUUCUUGCUGGACUAGAUGAAGAAUUUGACCAAGUUUGUGGAGAAAUUCUACGAAAAGAUACUAUCCUAGACUUAAAAGAAUGUUAUUCUCUAAUCCGAAAAGAAGAUGUACGGCAAAGCAAACUAACAAGAAGGUGGACGACUCAGAAACGUCUGCUAUGAUACCACAAGAGAACAAUGUUUUGAAAUUGUUCGAUAUCCUGACUGGUGGGAUACUCGAAGUAAUAACACAAAGCAGAGAUAAAAAACUGCAGUAGCUGAAUCCACAUCCACUACAGAUCUUAGAAAAGAAUCUUCAGCGCAAAUUGCAACCUCUGUCAAUUCAGGUAAGGUCAUUAAAACUCUUACAUUUGUUAUUAAUAGUAUAUGGAUAAUUGAUUAUGGUGCAACUGAUCAUAUGACUUUUGAUUCUUGACAAGUUUCUUAAUUGAAACCAUCUUCACAUAAACAUGUUUCUACUGUAAAUAGAACCACAACCUCAGUUAUUGGGGAAGGAUCUUUACAACUCACAAUUAAAUCAAAUUUAGACUUUGUGUUAAUUGUUCCAUCUUUAAAUUAUAAUCUUUUAUAUGUGUCUCAAAUAACCUCUUACUUAUCAUGUGUUGUAAUGUUUUGGCCCGAUCAUUGCAUGUUUAAGGACAUCCAAAUGAAGGAAACGAUUGGUUAUGAUAUUAAAUAAGGCAACUUGUAUUACCUGGAGAUGACAUCAACAAACACUGAAAAGCUAAGCCCCGCAUUAGUAGCAGACAAUUCCAUGAAAAAAAAGGAAAUAAGAAAUUUGGUUAUGGCAUAGACGAUUAGGGCAUGUGUCAUUUGAUUUCUUAAAAAAAUUGUUUCCUAGUUUGUUUCUGAAAUUUGAUAUUUGUAACUUUAAAUAUGAUGUUUGUGAACUUUCAAAUAGCCAUCGAACUACUUUUCCAUUGUCCUUAAAUAAGAAUCCAAUUCCUUUAAUGGUAGUACAUUCUGAUGUAUAGAGACCAUCUAAAGUUUCUACCAUUGGAAGAGCUCGUUGGUUUGUUACAUUUAUUGAUGAUUGUAGCAGAAUGACAUGGAUUUUUUUAUGAAAUUAAAAUCAUAUGAUGGUGACAACUCUAUUUCAGACACAAAUUUGAGUUCUACAUACUGAUAAUGGAGGCGAGUAUAUGAGCACAACAAUUCAACAGUUUUUGAAAUCACAAUGAACUCACCACCAAACCACUUGUGUGGGGACACUCCAACAAAAUGGCGUUGCUAAACAAAAAAAUAGACAUUUACUAGAAGUUGUUCAAGCAUCACUAAUUUAGGCCCGCAUGCCACUAUUUUAUUGGGGAGAAGCAUUGGCAUCCGUAGCAUACUUGAUCAAUCGGACACCUUCAAUCUUCCUUGGAUUCCAAACUUAUUUUCUAGUUCUAAAUGAAGAAUUAUGUCAUCAAAUGUGUCGAAUUUACCCCCACAUAUGUUUGGUUGUGUUGCCUUCGUUCAUUUGCCAUGACAAGAUAAAUUAUCUCCUCGAGCACUACGUUGUGUGUUUGUAGGGUAUGCCUUACAUCAAAAGGGGUACCGAUGCUAUCAUCCUCUAUUAAGAAAAAAUAUACAUCACCAUGGACAUAAUCUUUCAUGAAGAUAUCAUGUAGUACCCAUCGGAGCUUGAAUUUCAGAGGGAGUAUAAUGAAGAGGAAAUUCAUACUCUUACAUAUCUUUCACCUGAAGAAGAUCAAUCCUCCAUUGAGGUAGUAAACGUUCAAGAUACUGGAAAAGAAAACGACAAUGAUUCUCAGGCUGAGACAAGUGAAGACACAUUUAGGGAGCAAAAUAACUCAGACAUAACCACAAUCGAGAACGAGUCCAUGAAGAGCCACAUGAAGAAAUAUCUAACCAAUCAUCUGCAGAGGAUGAUCCUACCACAAAUCCCAGUCUAAUCAGAAGAAUACUUCCCCAGCAUCAAAAUAGAGGUAUCUCUAAACCCACAUAUAAGACUGACCUCUCUAGUAGAGUCAAAUACCCUAUGAGUCAUUUUGUAUCUAACCAUGGCUUAUCAAAAUCAAAUCAGUCAUUUGUGAAUCAAUUAUCUACUGUGUCUAUUCCUAACAGUGUGCAAUAAGCCUUAAAAUAUCGAAAGUGGAAAGGGCUAUGAAUGACGAAAUGAGAUCUCUUUAAAAAAAAUCAAACAUGGGAACUAAUUGAUCUUCCACCAGGAAAGAAACCAGUGGGUUGCCGAUGGAACUAGUUGAUCAUCCACCUCCAUUCUGACAAGCAAUGUUUAUCAGCAAUAACAAAUGACUGAAGCAUUUUAAUGAGGUUAGUAACGAAAAAGAGUUUAAUUAGAGAAUAUUAUAAGAGAAAUUCUAAUUUUUGAUUUUUAAUAAAUUAAAAUAUCUUAAAAUAUUAUUAGUUGGUGGUGGUUUCAUGUCAGAUUAAGACGUGACACCUUACUAAUGAGGUCGAGACAAUUAGCUUAAAUUAUUUCAAUGCAUUUGAAAUUUCCACUAAUGACUAUAAUUCUUUGUCCUAAUUACUAUGAUAAUUAAUAACAUACAAUUGAAAUAGUUAAUAUUAGCACUUGGCAAUAAAUAAUUAAAUUUCAUUAACACUAAAUAAUAAUUGAAUAUGGCUUUGUACAUCGAUGACGCCAGCAACAAGGGGACCGCGAUUAUCACUCUUUAAGUUGCUUUUAAAAUUGAUUUUAGUAGUGAUAUGAUUAUUGUAGUGUUUUUAUUUUUUAUAUUAAAAUUAAGUGAUUUGUUAUAAUAAACUUAGUUGAGUUUAAUGGUAUUACUACAUAAAUUGAAUAGUUAUCAAAUAUUUUAAUAUUUUUAUGGCAAGCGUUGACGUGGCAUUUAUUUGUUGUAUGAUGGAUUUUAAAAUUUAUAAAAUUAUUUGUUAUUAAAUUACCCCCAGAUGCUACAUCACCUGAAACUUAAUAAAGGUAUGAAGACAUGUGUGUGUGGACUGAAAUGAAGAAUAUGGAAAAGUUGAGAGCUGUUGUGCAGAUUGAGUUCAGUUGAUGGGGUCUAUUAGAUAUUGUCUGCUGACGUGGCAUGAAUUCGUUAUAAUCUGUUAUAACGAGUUCAGUAUAUCAGUAUACAAUAGAGCUGAUGGAUGGUGCCUGUUUUAGAGUCUUUUUUAUAUUCAUUUGUUCAUCAUUUUGCGCAAGAUCUGUUCCAUUGUGAUAUGUGUAAAGUCUUAUGUAAACCCACUUAUGAUUGGAUUAGUUCUUGAUUAAUAACAACGAGUAAAUUUUCCUUCAAGUGUGCUGGUCUGUGCCCCUGUUUUUUGUUCUGAUAUUGUUUCUUUGUUCUGGCAUUUCAUUUCGAUUGUGUUCUUGGUGUUUCUACUCAUCAAGAUUUAUGAGUCUUGUUGAGAUUAAAGACUUAAUAGUCUUAACAAGUGGUAUCAGAGCCUGGUGAAUCUCAGCCAUGUCUCUUUCGAAGCAUGAAAUUGAAAAAUUCACCAUUGGUGGUGAUUUCUCGCUUUCGAAAUUAAAAAUGAGGGCUCUCCUUGUGCAUUAGAGGCUUGAAUUUGCUCUGGAAAAAGAUAAUCUAGAGGCUGCUACAAGUUAUGUGACUGAUGAUAAGAAGAGACAAAUCCAAAACCGAGCUCGUAGCACUCUAGUUUUGAGUCUUGGUGACUCAAUCUUGAGAAAGAUUUCUGAAGAGAAGACAACCUUAGGGAUUUGGAACAAGGUAGAAGCUUUGUGUACAAAGAAGUCGCUAGCUCACAGACUAUUCUUGAAGAAAAAGUUAUACACAUUCUCGAUGAGAGAAGGAGUCACAAUUCAAGAUCACAUUGAUACCUUCAACAAGAUCAUUCUUGAUCUUGAAGGGGUGGAAAAUGUGACAAUAAGUGAUGAAGAUAAAGCCUUCUUCUUGUUGAGUUCCUUACCAAAGUCUUAUGAAGGCUUUGUAGAUACAAUGCUUUAUGGCAGAACAACAUUGACUCUUGAAGAUGUUAAAGCAUCUCUAAGUUCAAAAGAGAUUCAGAAGAACAAUGAGAUUGAAACAAAUAAUGGUGAUGGGCUGAUUGCCAGAUCAGAAAAGAAGAAAGAUCAGAAGAAUAAAAAUCAGGGAAAAUGACAUGGAAAGAAUUAAGAAAAUGCAGACAAGAAGAAAAAGAAGAGAAAAUGCUUCUACUGCCGGAAGGAAGGGCAUUACAUCAGGGAUUGUCUUAAAAAGAAAAAAAAAGAAAGUCAAGAGAAGUCAGGGGAUGCAGCUGUAGCCUCUGAUGAUGCCUCUGAUGGAUAUCACAUUGCUGAUUUACUUGUGGCCUCAAAUAGCAAUACUAAAGGUCAGUGGGUCAUAGACUCUGAGUGCUCUUUUCACUUGUGGCCUGAUAAAACCAUAUUUUACAAAUAUGAAGUUGUUGAUGGUGGUAGAGUCUUAAUGGGAAAUAAUAAUGUGUGUAAUCUUGUUGGUAUUGGUUCUGUGAAGAUCAAGAUGUUUGAUGGAACUGUAAGAGCUCUACAUGAGGUGAGGCAUGCUCCUAGGCUAAAGAGAAAUCUAAUCUCUUUAGGCAUGCUAGACAGCUUAGGGUAUUUCUUUAAAUCAGAAAGUGGUGGUUUAGAGAUAAGAAAGGGGACUGAGAUAGUGAUGAAGGGGGUUAAAGAAAAUGGCUUAUAUGUAUUGUAAGGCUCAUCAGUGCUUCUUCAAAAGGGAAUUUCUGCUCUUUUUGAGGAAGAUAUAACCAAGUUAUGACAUCUUAGACUUGGUCAUAUGAGUGUCAAAGGGAUGUAAGAGCUCAGCAAACAAGGGCUACUUGGUGGGGAUAGAAUCCAGCAACUGGAAUUAUGUGAAAAUUGCAUUUUUGGCAAAGCUCACAGGUCCAAGUUUCACAAGGGGGAGCAUAUGUCUAAGCAAGUUUUGGACUAUGCACAUGCUGACCUUUGGGGGCCUGCUCAAGUCCCAUCCUUGAGUGGUGGCAGGUAUUUCAUAUCACUAAUUGAUGAUUACUCAAGGAAGAUGUGGGUCUACAUACUCAAGACCAAAGAUCAAGCCUAGGAAAAAAUUCAAGGUAUAGAAAUCUUUGGUAGAAAAUCAAUUUGGAUUCAAGCUCAAAUGCUUGAGAACUGAUAAUGGUUUGGAAUUUUGUAGCAAAGAAUUUGAGGAAUAUUACAAAAAAACAUGGCAUAAAAAGGCACAAAACAGUCAGGUUCACCCCCCAGCAGAAUGGCUUGGCUGAAAGGAUGAACAUGACCUUGGUAGAUAAGACCAGAUGUAUGUUGAUAAAUUCAAAGCUUCCAAGAAGCUUUUGGGCAGAAGCUGUCAAUACAACAAGUUGUUUGGUUAACAGAAGCCCAUAUUCUGCAAUUGGCUUCAAAACACCAGAAGAAUUGUGGAAGGAAAAACCUGUAAAUUACCAAAAUCUCAGUGUUUUUGGAUGCCCUGCUUAUCUCCACAUCAAUCAAGGCAAGCUGGAAGCUAGGGCCUUGAAAGGAGUCUUUGUUGGAUAUCCUGAUGGGGUUAAGGGAUACAUAAUCUGGUGUAGAGAGUAAGGGAAGUGUAUAGUCAGCAGGGAUGUUGUGUUUCAUGAAUUUGGAUUGCUAAAAGAAAAUGCAGAGAAUGAUACUAGACUACAAAAUGAUUCAAUAAUUAUCAAACAAUCUGGAACUUCCAAGGUUAAGGUGGAGCUGUUUGGAAAUAAAGACAGUAGAAAAGAGGUAGCUGAUUAUGAAGAGAGGACCACAGCUAAAGUUGAGGAACAUGAGUCAUCAGAGUUGCCACAAGCUGACUUGCAGACUUAUCAGUUAGCAAGAGAUAGAGUUAGAAGAGAAGUCAAAGCACUAGUGAGGUAUGGCUAUGCUGACUUAAUUACUUAUGCAUUGUUGUGUGCUGAUGAUGUGGCAAUUGAAGAGCCUGCUAACUUCUCUGAAGUUAUUGAAAGUGUGCAUUGUGAUAAGUGGCUUGAGGCAAUGCAAGAUGAAAUGGGAUCCCUUCAAAGAAAUCAGACCUGGACACUUGUUCCAAAUCUAGGUAAUAAAAAGUUGAUCAGUUGUAAGUGGAUCUUCAAGAAGAAUGAAGGAAUUCCAGAUGUUGAACCUCCCAAAUAUAAAGCAAGGCUAGUGGCUAGGGGGUUUACACAGAGAAAGAGUGUAGAUUUCAAUGAAAAAUUUUCCCCUGUUCUUAAGCACAUUUCAAUAAGAAUUUUAUUAGUCAUGGUAGCCUUACUUGACUUGGAGCUUGAGCAAAUGGAUGUAAAAACAGCAUUCCUUCAUGGUAAUCUUGAAGAACAGAUAUUGAUGGCACAACCUAAAUGUUUUGAGUGCAAAGGAAAUGAGGAUUAUGUUUGUUUGCUGCAUAAGUCCUUGUAUGGACUCAAGCAAUCCCCACGACAGUGGUACAUAAGAUUUGAUGAUUUUAUGGUCUCAAAAGGCUAUCACAUAAGCAAAUAUGACAGUUGUGUUUACUUUGGUGGAUCAUAUCAAGGUGGAGUUGCUUAUUUGCUUCUGUAUGUUGAAGAUAUGUUAAUUGCAAGAAAAUAUAAGUUGGAGAUAGAGAGGUUGAAGAAAUGAAGGAUCUCGGCAAUGCCAAAAGAAUCCUUGGGAUGAACAUUACAAGGGGCAGAUCUGCUGACACUUUGUUCUUGAGUCAUGAGAAAUAUAUCAAGAAGGUUCUGGAGAGGUUUGAGAUGCAAGACUAUAAACCUGUCCAAACACCACUUGGUCCCCAAUUCAAGUUGACAGCAGCUCAAUCAUCAGAAGAUGAGUCUCAGGUGAGUGAAUUCCCAUAUGCACAGGUUGUAGGGAGCCUGAUGUAUGUAAUGGUAUGCACCAGGUCAGAUAUAGCUUAUGCAGUAAGUGUUGUCAGCAAAUUUCUCAGUUGUCUAGGCAAGGUUCACUGGAAUGUUGUAAAAUGGAUAAUGAGAUAUCUUAAGGGCUCUUUUACUUGUGGUUUGCUGUAUGGGAAGACUAAGAGUGACAUAAGUGAAGUCCUGGGGUUUGUAGACUCUGACUUUGCUGGAGAUCUUGAUAGAAUGAAGUCAACCUCAGGGUAUAUGUUUGUGUUAAACAGUUGCCUGAUUAGCUGGAAGUCAUCACUUCAGUCUGUGGUUGCUUUAUCCUCAACUGAAGCUGAGUUUGUUGCAACUACAGAGGCAGUAAAAGAGGCCAUGUGGCUAAGAGGUUUGCUUAAUGAGUUAUGGUUAAAUCAGAAAAUUGUUCAGGUUUUCUGUGAUAACCAAAGUGUCAUACACCUGGUAAAGAAUCAGAUGUAUCAUGAAAGAACCAAGCACAUUGAUGUGAAGCUCCAGUUUAUCAGAGAUGAGGUUGGAAAAGGAACUAUAAUUGUGUCCAAGAUCUAUACCAGUGUGAAUCCAACUGAUGUUAUUACAAAAGCACUUCCCACUGCAAAAUUUGAAUUCUAUGUGAAUCUAAUGGGCAUCUCGCCCAAACCUAACUAAAUUCAAUAGUGAAUUGUAGUUGAAUGAAGGUUUUUUAGGUGCUGUGUUAUUGAAAGGAUCAACUGAAUCAACUGCAAGGUGGAGAAUGUGAAGAUGUGUGUGUGGACUGAAAUGAAGAAUAUGAAAAAGUUGAGAGCUGUUGUGCAGAUUGACUUCAGUUGAUGGGGUCUAUUAGAUAUUGUCUGCUGACGUGGUAUGAAUUCGUUAUAAUCUGUUAUAACGAGUUCAAUAUAUCAGUAUAUAAUGGAGCUGAUGGAUGGUGCCUGUUUUAGAGUCUUUUUCGUAUUCAUUUGUUCAUCAUUUUGCACAAGAUUUGUUCCAUUGUGAUCUGUGUAAAGUCUUCUGUAAAUCCACUCAUGAUUGGAUUAGUUCUUGAUCAAUAACGAGUAAAUUUUCCUUCAAGUGUGCUGGUCUGUGCCCCUGUUUUUGGUUCUAAUAUUGUUUCUUUGUUUUGGCAUUUCAUUUCGAUUGUGUGCUUGGUGUUUCUACUCAUCAAGAUUUGUGAGUCUUGUUGAGAUUAAAGGCUUAAUAGUCUUAACAAAAGGGAAUGUAGCAUUGCCAUUAAUCAACAUUCACUCUUAUGACUUUAUGACAUUAGAAUUAAAAUCUUUCGUACAUUUAAUUUAUUUGCUUCCAAAUUAAUCUUUAAUAAAUAUUUUUUCACAUUAUCAUCAAUGGACAAAACUCCAACGAAAAUAACUACACGAGAACAAUUUAUGCUAGUAUUAAAUGCCACGAUAUCUAUAACUUUGUCUGGAUCGAUCAUUCUAAUUUUUUCGCAGAACUUUUUGUCAAUGGACAAACACCUCACAGAGCUUGUCAGCCGCAUUAUUACGAUGUAAAAUUGUACCGGAAUAUCUUGAAUUAUUAGUAGAAUAAUGAAGACUAUUUGGGGCAAUAAAAACAAAUAACGCAGAUAAAAAAAUGGCUAAAAUUAUGUAAGUGAGCCCCAAAGUUUUUGCUAUUUCCAGGAAAUCCCAAAUUUGAAUGGACUAGAGGGAGGCACGUAAGAAAUACAUUUUCUUCCUAGACAAUGACAGCUAUGACAUCAAGCCACGGUGGCGUCAGUAUUGAAAUUAAGGUGUAAUUAUUCAGCCAAUGAGCCUUACACAUCAAGAUAAAAGUCAAGAUAAUGAAAAUUUGGCUGUUUCCAUUUGAAGUUAAAAGCAACGUUUCUUUCGUUUUGUGGGCGACUCGACUGAGCACGCCCCAAUAGCUAUAUUUAGGGCGUCAAUUUGAUAUUUGAAUGGACAGGCAAGUAAGAAAUACAUUUCCUUCAUAGACAAUGACAACGAGGACAUCAAGCCACAUCAUUAUAGUUUGUAGCCCAUCUACAUUUAAACGAUUAAUAAACAAGCUUAGGUGUGCCACUGCUAUUAUUAAUUAUCCCCUGAUCAUUAUAGUUUCUGAAACAGUAAAACUAAACGAAAUUGAAUACAUCAACGAGACCGCAAUUAUCACUUGUUUAGUUGCGGUAUUUAACUUAAUUUUAAUAUAAUAUAUUUGUUAGUUAAACUUUUAAUAAUCAAAUAAUUUUGAUUUAAAAAUAAAAUUAUAGAAAUUAUUAAUUAUUAAUUAUUAAAAAUUCACAAUUAAGGGAACGUUCAUCAAACACACAUAGCUAUUGUUUUCUCUAUAUAUUGCAGUGUGUACGAUAUUGAGGGUUGAAGCCCCAAGCAUGCUCUAAAAUCCAGAUAAUAAUUAGAUCCGGGCCAAAUAUUCAUCAUUGUGUCAGCUGAUCAGUCGGUGGACAUCUCUAUUGAAAAUAUCUCUGACAUUUCACUCGACAAACUUAUUAAUAUAAAAAAUCUGUGGUUUUGCCGUCUGAAUAAUGUAGAAAAAUUUGUCUAUGCAUUAAUCUAGAUGUUUGAGGUGAUUUAUACAUCUGUGGUAAAGAUUUAUAGGUUGACUUAGACGUCUGUGGUAUAGAUUUUAUGUAUUUCAUUACAAAAUGCUGGCCGUUAGAACCCUUUCUACAUCUAUUUAUAAGAUUAACGGGUGCCAGCUAUGCCAUUACAAAUUAUCCCCUCAUCAGAUAUUUCGUUAAAAUUCAUUCUGAAACACUAAAACUAAAUAAUCGAAUAUGGCUUUGCGGGUCGAUGAUGCCAGCAGCAAUGAGACUGCAAUUAUCACUUGUUUAGUUUCUGUGCUGGCCGUGGUUUACUUCGCAUGGAAUGUGAAAAAAUCAAGGAAAGCAAAUGCUACACUGCCACCAGGACCUCGCGGCUUGCCUGUAUUCGGAUACCUCCCAUUUCUUGGAACUACUGACUUGCACAAGAAAUUCACGGAAUUAUCCGGAGUUUAUGGUCCGAUCUUCAAGCUUUGGCUUGGAAAUAAAUUAUGUGUAGUGGUGAGCUCACCUUCCCUAAUUAGACAAGUGGUUCGUGAUCAAGAUACAACAUUCGCGAACCGUGACCCACCGAAGGCUGCACUAGUGGUCUCCUAUGGUGGCAAUGAUAUUGCAUGGUCCAAUUACGGUCCCGAAUGGAGAAAGUUGCGCAAAUUUUUUGUGGGCAAGAUGAUGAAUAACGCAAGCCUUGAUGCUUGUUAUGCUCUAAGAAGACAAGAGGUUAAAAAUACUAUCAGGGAUUUGUAUAACAACGACAACAAAAUUGGCAAGCCCAUUGACAUUGGUGAAUUGUCGUUUUCAACAUUGGUAUGUGCUAUACAGAACAUGCUGUGGGGUGAAGCGCUUGAAUUAAAAGAGAAAGGGACCACUAAUCUUAGGGCUGGGCUAAAAUUUAAGCUGGCAGAACUCAUGGUGCUUGCGGGAACACCGAAUAUUUCGGAUGUCUUUCCAAUGCUUUCAUGGCUUGACAUACAAGGUAUAGAGAGGAGAGCAAAGAAGAUUUCACUCUGGCUUGAUAAUGUUAUAAAUUCUACUGUUGAACAGCAUAGAAACAAGGAGUUAACUGUUGAAGGUGAAGAAAGAGCGGGGAAAAAUUUUGAAGGAUCAAGGAACAAGAACUUCUUGCAGUUACUAUUGGAGCUUCAAGAAAAUGAUGACAGUGCUUCCUCAAUUAGCAUGAACCAAUUCAAGGCCGUACUCGCGGUAUGUUAAGCAACUAGCCACGAACAGUUAUACAAGCACAAUUGUAUAUUUGCAUGAGUGAUAUUUUCAACCUUUUUUUUUAAUUAGAAUUUUAUUGUCACCUUUUGGACAGGAUAUAAUUACGGCUGGAACCGACACCACAACUACGAUGGUGGAAUGGACAAUGGCAGAGUUGAUGCAGCAUCCACAAGUAAUGAAGAAAGUUCAGGAAGAAUUAGCUCAAGUUGUGGGCAUGGACAGUUGUGUUGAAGAAUUUCACCUGUCUAGAUUAAUGUAUUUAGAUGCUGUGGUGAAGGAAACAUUUCGUCUGCAUCCUGCAGUGCCUUUAUUACUACCACGUAGGGCAAGCGAGAGUGGCAACAUUGGUGGCUAUACCAUUCCCAAAGAUACAACUCUUAUGUUGAAUGUUUGGGCUAUCCACAGGGACCCUCACCUUUGGGAUAAUCCCUUAGAAUUUCGACCCGAGAGGUUUCUGAAUGUUGGUAUCGAGAGUAAGUUCGAUUACUCAGGUAACAAUUUUCAGUACUUGCCAUUUGGUUCUGGUAGAAGGAUGUGUGCUGGGAUUCCUCUAGCUGAGAGGAUGCUGAUGUUUGUUUUGGCUUCGUUAUUGCACUCAUUCGAGUGGGAAUUGCCAACUGGCACAAAGCUAAACUUAUCAGAAAAAUUUGGGAUUGUCAUUAAGAAAAAAGAGCCUUUGGUUGCUAUUCCAACACCAAGACUAUCCAAUUCAGAGCUCUACCAUUAAGACCAAAUGGUUGUGAUGAUUUUGUUAAUUUCCGAAGAUUUGUAUGUUAUUUCAAGUUCAAUCGUAGUAAAAUAUUUCAAAUAAGAGUCCUCCGUUGCUUUUUUUUUUUUUUUUCAACGGCAUAAUCUGUGGUCAUGCUUGUAUUUGGAGCCACUUUAGAAAAAUUAUGUUUGAAUUACAAUUUAUAAAUAUUACAUUUUAAAAUAUUAUGAGGCUAAAUUUAUACACGUUCAAUAACCCGCUUCAUAUAUAUUUAACACAAUUUAUAUCAUACAUUGUACACCCAUUUAUCAUAAAUUACACUAUUUUGUAUCUCUAAAUAAUAUUACGUAUUGAUAUUAUAAAAUAUAUAUGGAAAAGAGAACAAAGAAGAUUUCUUAUGGUUUGAAAAUAUUAUGAAUUCUGCUGUUGAACAGUAUGGAAACAAGGUCUCUGUUGUUAAAGGUGAAGAAGCAACAGGGAACAAUAUUGAAGGAAGAAAUUUCACAUGUUUAGUUGCUGAAUUUGCCGCUGUAUUCUAUCGGUAGUAAAAAAAUUAGAGUUUUUAUUUUUCUCUAUUAAUGUUAAGUCAAUUUUCUAUAACAAAUUCGGUUGAGUUUAAUUGUGUUACAAUAUAAAUUGAAUGAUAAUAGAAUUUUCAACGAAUAUUUCAAUAUUUCUAUCUCGAUUGUUGAAGUGCCAUUUAUUUGUUAUGCGAUCGAUUUUAAAAUUUAUAAAAAUUAUUUGUUACUAAAUUGCAUCAUAUGCUAAAAUCACCUGAAACCUAAUUCCAUAACUAACCCUUUAUUUUUAGUUCUCAAGAAAUCUUGUAAGAACAAAAUUCUUUUAUAACAAAACUUUUACAACACAUUAAUUUGUAACUCAUUCCUGUGCGAGAAUCACUCUCAAAUUCCUUCAAUUGCUGUUGAACAAUCAUCUGCUUAUCAAAAUUCAAGCAUAAUCUUUUCUUUUUUUUAAUUUCUUCAUCAUUCUUUUGAAAAAAAAAAAUCAGGAUAUGCUGUUAAAAUUUUGAAAUAAAUUAUCUCAAAAUAAUUACUAACCAGAAAAAACAAAGGGGUUUAACUAGGUUAUGCAUACCUUUGAAAAUUAUAUGUUGAUCGAUAAGAAUGAUGAUCACGAUUGAGGAGUUUAAUUAAAAUAUAUAAGAUUUUAAAAUUAAUCAGGGUUAAAUUGUGAAUUUUAGAAAGAGAGGUUUUGUGAGAAUGCUGAAAGGGUGUUAAUAGUUCCACUCUUUUUAAAAGCAACCAUAGUCAUCAUUUUUCCCGAUUUCUUCUUCCCAUCUCCAUCUUAUUUAGAAAUUUCCCAGAGCCUUUGUUUCCCACCUUUCAUUGUUCUUCUUUCUAAUUUAAUACUAUAGGAUUACAAAAAUAAUUACUCACAUUUUAUCAAACACCUCCAUUCUACCAAGGCCUUGUUUUAGUAGUAGGCUUUUAUUAUCUCAAUAAAAUUGAAAAAACAAAUCUCAAUAAUAUUGGAAAAAAAAAACCUACCCAUAUUUGUAACUUUAAUUUAUUAUUCUCCAUAGACCUACUUUUUAGCUUUGAAUUUUGUUGGAGCCAUAUAUAAACAGAAUAUGUUGAAUCAGCACCAAAAAAAAAAAAAAAAAACUAAUUAUAUAAUUUCUGUUCCCAAGGACAUGACUGAUUGAUUUUCAAGAAGUUUUGUUUGGCUGGCUACUUAGGUUUAAAUCUUGGUGGAGAUUAGGGGUUAAGAAAUAAAUUUGGACUUUGCACACCCCUUUAACUUUUAAAAAGAAAUGAAAAAAACUAAUUAAUUAAUCUUUAUUUUAUUUAUUAAAUAUCAUAAUCCUAUGCGUAUUUUAUUUGUUAUCUUUCUAUUUAAAAGACAGGAGGGCAGAUAAAACUGAAAUAAAUUUUUAGCCCUAUCUCCAUCUUUCAAGUUCCAUAGUUAGGUGACCAGGUAAAGAAAAUUAAUUGAAAGCUACUCCAUCAAAUUAAAAAAUUUUAUUUAUUUAAUUUGUGGAGAUGUAGAAAAUCAAACCCCAUGCCUUUUCGCGUGGAAAAGUGUCAACCUGGUCUAGCUAUGUUGCAAAAGUGAACAUAUUUUAAUACAUGACUAUCAUCCUUUAUCCUAAAUACUACUAUAACUAAUAACAUACAAUUGAAAUAAUUAAUGUUAACACUUGGCUAUAAAUAAAGGUUUUGUGCUUGAAUCUUCACGCAUGACCUUCAUUCCUUUAUUUACUUUGCUAACACAGAUUUUGAGGCAUUAAAACUAAAUAAUAAUUGACUUUGUGGGCCGAGGAUGCCAGCAACAAGGAGACCACAAUUAUCACUUGUUAAGUUACUCUAAUUGCCGUUGUCUUAUAUUCAUAGAAUAUUAGUAAUAAGAUUAUUGUAGAAUUUUUUUAUAUUAAAAUUAAGUCAAUUUGUUAUAACAAAUUUAGUUGAGUUUAAUCGUGUUACCACAUAAAUUGAAUAAUAAUAAAAUUCUCGACAAAUAUUUCAAUAUUUUUAUCCCAAGCGUUGGAGUGGCAUUUAUUUGUUAUACGAUCAAUUUUAGAAUUUAUAAAAUUAUUCGUUACUGAAUUGCACCAUAUGCUGCAUGACCUGAAACUUAAUAAACGGAACGUAGCGUUGGCACCGUUACUCAACAUACUGUUACGACUUUGUGACAUUAGAAUUAAAAUCUUUUGCACAUUUAAUUUGUUUACUUCCAAAUUAAUAUUUAACAAAAUAUUUUUUCACAUUAUCAAUGGACAAAACUCCAACGAAAAUAACUACACAAGAAAAAUGUAUGCUAGUAUUGUGUGCCAUAUCAUCUGUAAUUUUGUCAGGAUCGAUCAUUCUAAUUUUUAAGCAGAACUUUUUAUCAAUGGACAAACACCUCACACAGCUUGUCAGAGGCAUUAUUAUGAUGGAAAACUGUAAUGGUAUAUCUUGAAUUAUUGGUAGAAUAGUUCUUUGGAGCAAUAAAAACAGAUAAGACAGAUGAGAAAAUUGUCAAUACCCCACCGCAAAAGCAAAAGAAAAAAAGGAAAGGAGACAAAAGAGGAAGAAGAAAAAGAAAAAAGAACGAAGAAAAAAAUGGUGCCGCGCGGUAUAGGCAAGAAGAAAAAAUAAUAAUAAAAUAAUAAAAUAAUAGUGCACAACAGUCAUUUGAUUGCUAUAAAUAAAGGGGCAUUUCCCUCAUUUUAUUCAUCGAAUUCUUCAGUUCCUAAGCGAUUUAAGAGUCUAGUGAUUUGAGAGUUUGGGUAUAGUAUAGUUUUGAGUAGUGAGUUAAAAUAUUACAAUACUUAUAACUUAUUUUUACUAAUAAAAUAUUUUUCUUCUAUCUUCACCCGUGGACGUAGGGUCAAAGCCGAAUCACAUAAUUUUUAGUAUCCCUAUGUGAUUAUGUAUCUCAUUAUUUUUCAAUUUUACUUUAGUUACGUGUCUGCUACAUCCUUCAAUUUACUAACAAAAAUGGCCAAAAUUAUAUAAGUGACCCAAAUUUUUUUGCUAUUUCCAAGAAAUCUCCAAUCUGAAUGGGCCAGACCAGAGGGAGGCAAGUUAGAAAUACGUUUCCUUCAUAGACAAUAACAGCGAUGAGUCGAUGACAUCGAGCCACGUCGGUAUCAAUAUUGAAUUAAAGGUGCAAUUAUUCAGCCAAUGAGCCUUACACAUCAAGAUAAAAGUCAAGAAAAUGAAUAUUUAUCCUAAUUAAAACACUUUCUGGCUGCAUUUAGUUGUUUCCAUUUGAAGUUAAAAGCAACGUUUCUUUCGUUUUGUGGGCAACUCGACUCAGUUAGCUGGCUUCUAGUGCUAGUAAGUGAAAAUAGAAGGCUAAUGAUUUAUUUGUUAUCUUUUGAUAAAAUUAUUAAAGAUAUAAUAGAUUUUUCAUGAUACAAAUAAAAAAUCACAUCAACAUAGCUUCCAAAGUACAACAGCUAAUGUUUACCAAACACUUUGUUGUAGCUUUUAAGCUACAGCUGCCCAACUUUAAUUUCAAAUGCACCCUUAAUAGGUUGAUUGAAUUUGUGGGAUAUAGAUUCCACAUAUCGUAUGACCUAGUAACUAUACAAGUGGUUCGUGAUCAAGACACAACAUUUGCUUCCGGCCCGGUGACCCAGCAAUCGCUGCAUUGGUCGCCACCUAUGGUGCCAACGAUAUUGCAUGGUCCAAUUGUGGCCUUGAAUGGAAAAAGUUGAGCAAAUUAUUUGUGGACACGAUGAUAAGUAACGCAAGCCUUGAUGCUAGUUAUGGUCCAAGAAAACAAGAGAUAUGCAUAACAACAAAAAGGAAAAAAAAAAAAAAAAAAAAAAAGGCAUUUGCAAGCCCAUUGAUAUUGGUGAAUUGUCGAUUUCAACUUUGGCAUGUGUAAUCCAGAGCCUGCGCGCUGUGGUGUGGCGCUGGCACGCUUGCAUUGACGAGGGGACAAGUCUUGGGGCUGAGCUAACAUUUAAGCUCGCAGAACUCAUGGUGCUAAUGGGAACACCAAAUAUUUUUUGACAUAUUUUGGUGCUUUCAUGGUUUAAUUCAAGGUAUAGAAAGGAGUGUUGAGAAUGUCAAAUAAAACGGUAUUGAAUGGAAGUUGUUAAAGACACGAUCCGCACCGAACGACAACAGCACGGUUGCUAAAAAUCCUUCCGUAAUAGGCAUAUCUAAUUUUUGAAAAAGUGUAACCUCUACAUUUAUAAAUAUACUCAAUGUAUAAUGUUUUACUUAAGAAAUGAAAAACUUGUUUGUUCAAGGAGAAUAAAGAAAAAUUUUCUAUGAUUUUUCUAUGGUUUGAACAAAGAAGGUUUUAACGAGUAUUAUAGACCUCGAUUGAAUGUUCGAAUGUAUAAUAAAAGAGAAACUGUCACAUAAAUGACAAAGAUACUUGAAAAAAAAAAAAAAGGGCAGCAAUAGAGAAUUAGAUCCGACUGUACAAAUAACUAGUUAAUUCAUCGAUACAUCAUUUUCUUGCUAGAAAAUGACAAUUAUGACAGCAAGCCACGAUAGUGUCAAUAUUGAAAUUGAUUUGCAAUUAUUCAGCCUAUGAGCCUUACACGUCAAGAUAAAAGUCAAGAAAAUGAAAGUUAAUAUCAAUUAAAACACUUCCAUUUCUAUGUGAAGUUAAAAAACAACGUUUCUUUUGUUUUGUGGGGGAUUCAACUGAGCACGCGCCACUAGCUAGCUGGCUUCUAGUUCUAGCAUAUGAAAACAGAAUUCUAAAGAUUUCACUUUCACCUUUUUUCUUUUUUUGGGGUUUUGAAUCAAAGUCAAGGUCGCACUGAAUAAUAUGUAAAAUUUGAAAAAGAAGAAUUAAUAGAGAACAAAGUUUUGUUUUAAAUUCACAUGGUGUGCAUACAAUUCAACAAACACUUCCUAUAAUAAAUCUGGAGUUGUAUCCCACGUUGAACAAUAAAGGAAAGUCACCUAAAUAUACAUGUAGGAUAAGUUACUUUAUUUAGUAAGUUUGUAUUUUCUUCUUUCUUCUAGUUUACAUAUAAAUUUGAUUAGAUAACUUAACACAUAUUUUAAUACUUGAUCAGAAGCCCGACGUACAGGUGGAUCUAGAAACUUGAUUUCUAAGAGUAAUACUAUAAUAAAAAAAUAAUGAUUCAUAGAACCAAUAUCAAAAUUUGUUUACAAGAUUGCCCCCACUCAAAGGUAAUUUUCAUAGAAAUUAAUAGGAAAUUUAAUUGUUAGUGGGGUCAAAUUGCCCCCACACUCUGAAUGUAGAUCCACGCCCGACCCUGAGUCAAGUAUAUUUUGCCACAUAUACUCUGAAUGUCGGCAGGAAAAAUCUUCCACUUUAGUUAAAAAUUUUCACUUAAAAAAUAUUUAUGUUAAUAAAGUUCGUAAAGGAAAUGAGUUUAAUUAAUGAAUAUUAUAGGAGAAAUUAAAGGAAAUGAGUUUAAUUAAAGAAUAUUAUAGGAGAAAUUCUAUUGUUCGGCUUUUAAUAAAUUAAUUAAUAGGUUUAAAAGAUUAAUAUACAUCAAAAUAUUAUUAGUUGGUGGGGGUUCCACAUCGGACUAAUACGUGUCACCUUACUUGUGAGAUUAAGACAAUCGACUUAGACUAUUUAAAUAUGUUUGAAGCUUAGAUGGCACCGCUUCAAUUUGCAUUACUGAAUGUCAUUCUUUAUCCUAAUUACUACCGUAAUUGAUAACAUGCAAUUGAAGUAACUAAUAUUAGCACUUGGCUAUAAAUGAACUAAAGGCCGUGCAAUUGAAUCUUUACUUGAUCACUUCACUCCUUUAUUUUGCUAACACAGAUUUUGAGAUAUUAAAACGAAAUAAUAAUUGAAUCUGGCUUUGUGGGUCGAUGAUGCUAGCAAAAACGAGACCACAAUUAUCACUUGUUUAUUUGCUGUAUUUGACGUUGUUUCAUAUUGGUAGUAAUAGGGUCAGUUUUUAAUCUUUUUAUAUUAAAGUUAAGUCAAUUUGUUAUCAAAAAAAAAAAUUGGUUGAGUUUAAUUAUAUUGCUAUGUACAUUAAAUAAUUAUAAUAUUCUUGAGGGAAAAAGACACCUAGAACCUCAAGGUUUGGGGAAAUGGUCACAAAGACUCCUAAGUUUUAAAAAAGGAACACUAAGAUCUUUUUUUACCCAUAAUACCCUUUGACUAGAGUAAUUAAAAAAUUGACUUUAAAGGUUUUUAAAUAAUUCUAAUUUAAUAUAAAUCAUAUAAUCUAUCUAGUAAACUAAUAAUAUUAAAUUAUUUUUUAUAUUUAAAAUAAUGUUAAAUUUUAAAUUAUUAUAUUUAUAAAAUUAUAAAGAUUUUAAAUAAAUAUUUGGAUUGAAUAUAUUUUACAAUUAAAAGUCUUCCUAUUAAUAAUAUUAAAAUUUAAUUUUACAAAAUAUAUAUUCAAAAUAUUUUUAAUUUUAAUUUAUUUAUUUUAAUAUUAUGUUUCUACCUAUUAUUAAAAAUUACUUUAAUAUAAUAAAAUAGGUCUAAUAGAUUGAAAAAUAUGAAAAUAUUUUUAAAAUUUUAAAUUAUUUUGAAAUGUAUAUAUUAUUACAUUUAUUUCAAUGUCAUAUUUUCAUUUAUUAUAAAAUUUUGGGGUUAUUUUUUUGGGAAUUUAUAGAGUCAAAGAGCAUUAUAAUUUAAUCCAUGCACAAUAUCUAUAAUUAUAUCGGUUGUCGGCUGAUUUCGUGGAGGGGGCGGCAGUUCAAAAUUUUUACGUGCAUGUUGGAUGGACGUCUCUAUUAAAGGAGAGCCACCACUUGCAUGGUAAUUUUUUUAAAUAAAUAUAUACAUUUCAAAACAUUAUUUUCUUGUUGUAUAGUUAACAUGUCACCUUAGAUGUAUUUUAGAGCUUCUCCUAUUAAAGAUAAUCUCAUGCAGUGUUACAGAGUAUGGUAAUAUGGUAUAGAUGAGAGCAUCUGAUUAAAUGAAGCAGCUGGUAAUGCUUACGUGUGUGAGUUAGUUAUCCAGCUCAGCAGCAAAGCAAACGAAAUGAAUUGCAUGCAUAUUAGAUCCAACAAACUGGUAAACUCUAGAUUCUUCUUUCAUUUAGUAUAAAUACCAAGUUGUUAUCAUUUGCUAAAUAUAUAAUAAGAUGAUCAUUUUCAGAUCUUUCCUUUAUAAUUUUCUAUAACUUUCUCGUUAGUUUCUCUUGAACCAAACACUUUGUACGAACUCUUUCGUGCAGUGAUACUUCUCGUGAUCUAAUCAUUAGUAGAAUCUAUAAUUUCGCUACUGUAAUAAAAUCUGUCACUACCCUAUAUGAAUGUAGAUAUUUGACGCGAUUUGUAAUUGCUUCCGACAGGAAAACAGCAAUAGUUUUAUUGAAAUUUGUGGUAUAGAUUCCACGAAUCUUAUGACAGAAUACUGACCACUCCAACCCUAUCCGCAUUUACACGAUUAAUACACAAGCUUAGAUGUGACAAUGCAUUUGUCACUCAUUCAAAUUCAUCCUGAAACACUAUACACUAAAUAAUCGAAUAUGGCUUCGUGGGUCGAUGAUGCUAGCAGCAACGAGACUGCAAUUAUCACUUGUUUUGUUGCUGUACUUGUCGUGGUCUAUUUCGCAUGGAAUGUAAACAAAUCAAGUAAAGCAAAUGCUAAAUUGCCACCAGGACCUCGGGGCUUGCCAGUAGUCCGAUACCUCCCAUUUCUUGGAACUACUGACUUACACAAGACAUUCACGGAGUUAUCUGGAGUUUAUGGUCCGAUCUUCAAGAUUUGGCUUGGGAAUAAAUUGUGUGUAGUGGUGACCUCGCCUACCCUAGUUAAACAAGUGGUCCGUGAUCAAGAUAUAACAUUCUCAAACCGCGACCCACCGAUCGCUGGAACUGUGACCACCUACGGUGGCAAUGAUAUUGCACUUUCCAAUUACGGUCCCGAAUGGAAAAAGUUGCGAAAAUUAUUUGUGAGCAAGAUGAUGAGUAAUGAGACCCUUGAUGCUUGUUAUGCUCUAAGAAAACAAGAGGUUAAAAAUACUAUCAGGGAUUUGUAUAACAACAAUAAGGAUAAUAUUGGCAAUGGCAAUGGCAAGCCCAUUGACGUUGGUGAAUUGUCGAUUUCAACUUUGGUACGUGUUAUGCAGAACAUGCUGUGGGGUCAAGCAUUGGAAACAAGAGAGAAAGAGAUUACUAAUCUCGGGGCUAAUCUUGCAGAACUCAUGGUGCUACUGGGAACACCAAAUAUUUCGGAUAUUUUUCCAGUGCUUUCAUGGCUUGACAUGCAAGGUAUAGAGAGAAGAGCUAAGAAGAUUUCUCUAUGGUUUGAAAAUAUUAUCAAUUCUGGUGUUGAACAGUAUAGAAACAAGUUCUCUGUUGUUAAAGGUGAAGAAGCUGCAGCACGAAAAAAUAUUGAACGAUCAAGAAAUAAGGACUUCUUGCAGUUGCUGUUGGAGCUUCAGGAAAAUGAAGAUAGUGCUUCAUCUAUUAGCAUGAACCAACUAAAGGCCGUGCUCGUGGUAUGUUAAGCAACUAGACACAAAAAGUUGUAAAAGCACAGCGAUAUAUUUGCGCGAGGCCCCGAGUGAUGUUUUGCCUCGAGAACUCUCAAUUUUAUCUUACGGUAAAAAAUGUUUUUCAACUUUUUUUUUUAAUUAGAAUUUUAUUGCAAUUUAUUUAACAGGACAUAAUUGUGGCCGGAACCGACACCACAACUACGAUGGUGGAAUGGACAAUGGCAGAGUUGAUGCAACAUCCACAAGUAAUGAAGAAAGUUCAAGAAGAAUUCGCUCAAGCUGUGGGCAUGGACAGUUGUGUUGAAGAAUAUCACUUGCCUAAAUUAAAGUAUUUAGAUGCUGUGGUGAAAGAAACAUUUCGUUUGCAUCCUGCGUUGCCCUUAUUGGUACCUCGCACGGCAAGCAAGAAUAGCAACAUUGGUGGCUAUACCAUUCCCAACGACACUAAUCUUAUGUUGAAUGUUUGGGCUAUCCACAGGGACCCUCAACUUUGGGAUAAUCCCUUAGAAUUUCGACCUGAGAGGUUCUUGAAUGAUGGUAUCAUAAGCAAUUUCAAUUACUCGGGUAACAAUUUUCAGUACUUGCCAUUUGGUUCUGGUAGAAGGAUGUGCGCUGGGAUUGCUCUAGCUGAGAGGAUGUUGAUGCUUGUUCUGGCUUCGUUGUUGCACUUGUUUGAGUGGAAAUUGCCCUCGGGCACAAA
rnacentral:lncRNA from 1 species